UUUUUUUAUUUGUUCGUUUGUUAAUCAUCCAUAUAUUGUGUAUGGUUCUGGAGUGCGAGGAAAUCUAAAUCUUGACUGCCAGUAGCUAAUCAGUUGUUGUGUAUAGUACUACCAAGAAACUCGAGCUCCCCUCAACCAUAUGAAAUUUUUGGAUCACUUUCUACUUCAUUUUCUGUUAAAUAUUGUUGUUUAUACAUGGUGUUGAAUUUCCAAUUCUCAGGAGGAAUGCUUACAUAAACUACAGAGACGUAUAGAUGUUCCAUAUGAUAGUUCUAUUAUUGAGCACCAGGUAUCUUUUAUAUUAUUACUUUUUAUGUCUGUAAGCAACGUGGCAACCAUUAUGAUUUACAACACUUCAAUCUAUGUACUCAUAGAGCUGGCACUGGCUUAUUGCUGUACGUGAAAUCUUCAAUGAUCAAUGUCUUAAUAGUGUAAUUUACAUAUUUAGGAUGCCCUUAGGGCCUUGUGGAAUGCUGCAUUUCCUGAAGAAGAGCUUCAUGGCUUGAUAUCUGAGCAGUGGAAGGAAAUGGGCUGGCAAGGGAAAGAUCCAUCAACAGAUUUUAGGUACUUAUUGUUCUCGUGUUUUUUCACUGCCGAACUAUUUCCAGCUAAUAUUGUUAAUGAUUUCUUCUAUAUAUUUGACAGGGGUGGUGGCUUUAUAUCAUUGGAAAAUUUUCUUUACUUUGCCAGGAAUUUCCCGGUACAAUUUCUUUAUGGGCUUUUCACUCUCAUGAUUUUGUAAUGAUAGAUUACUUUUGUUGACCAAAAUUAAGGUUUAGAAUGGAAAGCAUGAUGAAUGAGAGCGCAUCUUAAGUUCGUAAUAGCUAGAGAAUUUUACAUGGAAAUUGUAUUAGUGUUAGUGUAUUUUUUUCAAGCGAAUAGGCCGUUAUUAGUUUCUAAUAUUGAAAGGGAGUUCUGUAGAUAUAAAUUAAUGUUAUUGUUGGUUUUAAUUUUUGAAGAAUGUAUUUCUCACUCUAACGAUUUCAAAUGAAGUGUGAAUUGUGAUGUAGGAAAAGGUCUUCUCAAAAAUUUAGCAAAAUAUCUAUGUAGGUCUGAAGAAAAUUCGUGUGUUUGAACUUUAUCCAUGAUAGAAGAAUUGUGGCCAUAUUCAUAUAUAUUGUGUACGGUUUGGGUUUGCCAUAUAUUGCAUAUUGUCUUGCUUUCUUUGAGAGAAAGGUCCAGUAAACAUAUUUGAUCCUCUUUAUUGCUUUAAGCCUUCCAUAAUCAACAGUGAUAUGUGGAUACUUCAACCUCUUACUUCUUUUUACUCUCUUUUAUCUUGUCAUAUCAAUAUACCUAUCUCAUUUUCUCCCUUUUUUGUCAUUCUCUCUCAAGUUGUAUACUAGCUUUUGGUUUCCACAAAACAUUAUUCUUCCAUAAUUUACUGUUGUACCUCAAAGUCAUUUUGUACAUUUUCCUGUGAGGCCCUCGUUACCCUGUUAGUUCGUCUUUGUAAUUAAUCUAAUUAGUGUUGUUUUGGUCCCCGAUAACUACUAAAAUGUUUCUUAAAUCUAAUCACUUGUUUCCAUUCAUGUUCUUUAUCUUAUCUUUUAUUUUUGUAGAAAUCCUUCCAGGAUCUUUUACGAAAGCAGGAAGGAGAUCGGUCAGUGUGGGAAUAUCCAUUUGCAGUUGCUGGUGUUAAUAUCACUUACAUGCUGAUACAAUUGCUGGAUCUUGAAGCGGGUUUGUUACUUCUGUUGUUCUAACUUCUUUGUUCGCUGUUAUAACUUAUUUGUUGUUCUGUGUUGUCACGUCUAAAAUGAAGAGUUGGGUUAUGUAUGGUCAAUUUCAUUGAGCACCCAUGAUAAAUCUACUUAAUAUUUAAGGUGCUCUUUCAAUUUGUAUGUUGACAUUUUAGUUUUUCAUAAAUUCGUAUAACAAAGGUCACCUGCUAUCACUAUCUGAAUCAUUGAUGGUGCCACAGUGUGAUACAUUGAAUCAGUACGUGGAUCAGCAACAUCUAAUAAUAGUAUGCUUUGCCUUUACAGUCAAGCCACGCAAUCUGGUUGGAGCAACUUUUCUAAAAUUUCUUGCAGGUAGCCUAACUCUCCCUUCUCAAUUUGUUAUUUUAGUCUUCUUGAAUUUGGAUGAGGAUCACGGAGAGUUGAAACUUUUGUUAAAAAUGAAAAAGCACUUGUUUAAAAUGGUAUAGCUUUUACUUGUUAGCUUGCUGUUUGAGUAACUAAAUUCAUUCAUGUUUGUCUGACAGAAAAUGAGUCAGCUUUUGAUCUUCUCUAUUGCAUAACUUUCAAGCUAAUGGAUCAUCAAUGGCUUUCUAUGCGGGCCUCAUACAUGGAUUUUAAUGUACGUAUUCUAUAACCUCAGCUUGCUGUAGAAAAAUUGUGGCACAAAUAAUAUUUUUUUCAGUGUCCAAUUUUGAUAAGAACAGAAAAUUAGUAAAGCUUGUCCAUCUUUCAAAAUAGUUUGAAAAUUUUUAUGCGAAGACGAUAUGGUCUGCUUGAGCACUUCAUUGAGUAACUCGCAUGAUCCUUUAUGAGUAAAAUGUUAUUUAUGUUUUUACUAAAAUUAAUAUUGAUGUUUUGUCUUUUUUAAAUUCUGACAGGCAGUGAUGAAAGCAACACGACGUCAGCUAGAGAAAGAGAUUCUGUUUGAAGACAUAUCACGGCUUGAAGAUUUACCCUCUUACAAAUUACUCUCCCGAUAGUACGAGUCUCCUAUUUUUGUAUAUUUUAAUUUCCAAUCCUGUUAAUUCAGCAAUUUUAACGACAUUUGAGGUAUACAACAUGUAAAACUGAUGUGAUGUCAACAAGGUUUGAGAUGCAGCAGUUAAGGUUUGAGUUUGCUUGGUAUAUUGGAUAUUUGUUAUUUGAGGUUUCCCACUUUACCUAUAUAUUUCCUUCCAGUAUUAACGUCUAAAUGCAGCUUCAGGUAAUUCCCCUUCAUUAAUACACUGCAUAGUUCCUUCACUCUCAUACUUCUAUUCAUCACUCAUUUCAUUUCAUAAUUCUUCCCAUUCCUAUUAAUGUCUACACUCUAUACUUGUUUUAAAUUCUCCCAUAAAUGUACAAACACCUUUUUAUAAAUUCUGAUCAUUUAAGUUACAAAUUUAUGAAAAAAGGUAUCAAUAUCUCUUUAUUUAUCAAUGUUCUACAUCUAUAUAAAUCAUUUUAUAAGUUUUGGUUAGUGUAUCCAUAUUGUAUCGUAUCCUAAAUAUAAAAAGAAUAGUCGUGUACCCGUGUCCUAUUAAGUAUACGAGUUUCAUGGAAUAAAAGCAUUGGAACGUGUAUAUAAUUAAAUGUAUUUUAAUUAAAUACUAACAAGGAACAGAUCUUGUUUUAAAAAAGCAAAUUGCCUGCUUUUUGCUGCCAUCUCUUGUUGCUCUUGUUGUCUGCCACCCUUGUUUAUAUCAUAGAUAAAUUCAAGAAAAAAGUGUUUUGGAUUAUUUAGAAGACACUUUUGAGUUAUGUAAUUGAAAAGGUACUUCCAGAUUAUGCGCACAAUUUUCAAAUGGUGCAAUUUGAAUGAUUUUUCUUCAUGCAACAAAUCUGAAUUUUAUAAGUCAUUUUUUCAAUAAAUCAAAAUGUAAAGUAAAGAUUUUCAUAUUUAUGGGGGCUGUAGAAGGAAAUUAUGGGUUUGCAAAAAUAAAUUUCAAGACAUGAAUAUACGAUAAAGCACAAAGGUAGGUGUUUCGUCUUGCUUCCCUUACCAACUAAACAAUGUGAAUUACUUUCUGUACUCAUACAAUUUGAACAAGCACUCAAUGGUCACGUGAAAUGAAAAUAAAAAAACCUUAAAUGAGAGUAGAUUGUGGAUAGAAUUUUCCUUUUUUAAAAAAUCAUUCGACUUGUUCUUGCUUUAGCUGUUUCACACAAUUGGCCAUUCAUCAAAUAAACAUUGACAAUGCUUUUUCUUUUUAUAUUGACAAUAAUGUAAAAGGAUAAUAUAUUUCUUCUCUUCUUAGUCUUUUCUUUUGUAACCACAUGCUUGUAAAGGUGUACUGCCAUAUGAACAAUUGAUAUACAUUUUUCUUCUCUCAAACCUUCAUUCUGCUUUUACUCCUUUACCCCUAUACUUUCUUCUCUUUUACAUGGUAUACAGAGCUCUUCUUACUCAUGUCUUCUUCUUCUUCGACUACCAAUUUUGAAAAUUUUUCUUGUGUUUCAUCCUUCACACCUCUCAUACUUUCUCUACUCCCAUCUUGUUGAAAUUGGAUGAUGAUAACUUUCUUCUCUGACAACAACAAGUCACUGCCAUUGUACAUGGUCUCAAUCUUUCACGAUUCUUGGAGGAUUCUUCAUCACCUCCAGAAUUUCUCACUACUGAAAAUUCAGAAUCGCCCACCCUUAACCCUCUCUUUCUUCAGCUUCACCAACAAGAUCACCUUCUUGUUGUCUGGUUUCUUGCGGCCAUGGCAACGCCAAUCUUGACGAAAAUGGUGGGUCUUCGCACAACGUAUCAAAUCUGGAACAAACUGCAUAUGCAUUACACAACUCAAUCUCGUGUCAAAAUUAAGAAACUCAAGGUACAUUUAUGCAAUCCUAAGGAAGAUCGCUCCAUUUCGACCUAUCUUCUUUAUCAAAAGAAAAUCGUGGAUACCCUUACCGUUGUCGGUGCUCCAAUCUCAAUCGAUGAUCAAAUCAAAGCUAUUCUGGAUGGCUUACCUGACGAAUAUGACGCUUUGAUUACUUUUGUCACCUCUCGCAUCGAUCCAUACAUGGUUGAAGACAUUGAGGAUCUUCUGCUUGCUUAAGAGGAACAUUUUGACAAAUAUCGCUUGUUGGAUUCUAGUAUUGUUCAAGCACAUCUUUUGAUUGCUUCUUGGCAACCGUUAAACCCUACAUCAACCAAACCAUGGAUGACUCAAAAUCACAGAGGUGGUCGUCGUGGUGGAUGACCCCCAAAUCGUUUCUCUGGAGCGUCAAAUAGAAUUUUUGGCAACAGAAACCCCAAUUUAAAGAUCCAGUGCCAAAUUUGUGGAAAGAUGGGCCACUCAACUCUCCGUUGUUGGAAAAGGUAUGACACCGAUUCAAAUAACUCGAUCACUAUGGUCACUGAUCCUCUCUGAUAUCCUGACAACGGUGCUACACAUCAUCUCACAAGUGACUUCAAUGCUUUUACCACUAAAUCCAAUUAUAAUGGCACCGAGGAUGUAAAAUUAGGUAAUGGUUCAGGUACUCCCAUUGCUCACAUUGGCUCUGCCACUUACAUUACUCCUUACAAUAACAUUGUCAUUUGUCUUAAUCAACUUCUUCAUGUUCCAAACAUGACAAAAAAUCUUACAAGUGUUUCUAAGUUUGCUAAAGACAAUAUUGUUUUUUUUGAAUUCUAUUCUGAUUACUGCCUCGUCACAUAGCAGGAUAUAAAGCGGAUCAUUCUACAAAGAAAACUUAAAUAUGGUCUUUAUGUGUUUCCUCCGUUUACUCAUAAACUCAAACCUACUGUGUGCAAUAUUAGUGUUAAUUCUGUGUGUUCUAAGUUUCAACUAUGGCAUAAUCGCCUUGGUCAUGCUUCCUAUAACACUAUCAAUAGAAUAAUGAAAUUGUGCAAAGUUCCAUGUAUUAAAGACUCUAUUUUUUGUGAAAACUAUACUAUUGCUAAACAUCAUCAAUUACCUUUUCAUGAUUCUGAAACUGUCUAUACUUGUCCUCUUGAACUUGUCUUUGCUGAUAUACAGGGUCUUUCUCCAUACUAUUCAUCUAAUGGAUUUCGGUAUUACUUAGCUUUUCUUGAUGCUUAUUCGCACUUUACAUGGCUUUAUCUCAUAUCAUCUAAAUCUCAAGUUUUUUCAUUUUUCCAACGUUUUAAACUUUUUGCUGAAAAACAAUUUGGAUGCAUAUUAAAAAUCUUACAAACGAAUAAUGCUAAGGAAUUUCUUUCUCUUACACCUUGCCUACAUAAUAAUGGGAUACAACAUAGGUUAACUUGUCCUCACACACAUGAGUAAAAUAGCUCAAUUGAAAGAAAACAUAGACAUGUUGUUGAGAUAGGUUUAGCCAUGUUAUCCACUGCCUCUUUACCUUAUAAGUUUUGGGGAGAAGCUUUUCUUAGUACAACUACUAUUAUUAAUCACUUACCAUCUUUUGUGCUUAACAAUCGUAGCCCUAAUGAAGUUCUUUUUAACAAGAAACCCAAUUAUGAAUUCUUUAAAGUUGUUGGUUGUGCUUGUUAUCCUUUGCUUAGACCGUAUAAUCAUCAUAAGUUUGAAUAUCAUGCUUCUAUAUGCCUAUUUUUGGGAUAUGAUUCUAAACAUAAAGGGUACCUUUGCUUAUUGCCUUCUGGUAAGACCAUUAUCUCGCGGCAUGUCAUUUUUAAUGAAAUUGUUUUUCCUUUUGCUCUUACAAAUAAUCAUUUCUCUAUUGUUUCUUAUUUUCCACCUUCUACUCAUUCUAAUGUGCCCCUCACAGUUGUUACUUCACCCACCUCUUUACCAUCUGCUCCUAUUAAUACUUCUACUGAUAAUGCUUGUACCACUGCUCUUAAUAAUAAUCUCCUACUCCUACUUGCACCACUACACUUGUUUCUUGUGAAUUUAUGGAGUCUUCUUCUUCUCCACCCGUUUCAACUCCUAUCAUCAACAAUUAUCCCAUGGUGACCCGUGCCAAAGCUGGUGUGUUCAAACCCAAAAUAUAUCAGGUUAGUACAUCUUUUGCUAAACCCGUUGAUUAUAAACAAGCUUUAUUUGAUUCAAAUUGGUUUAAAGCAAUGCAAUCAGAAUAUAAUUCGCUUAUAACUAAUAACACUUGGACUCUAAUGCCCCUUCCUCCUGGUGUGAGUGUUGUUGGAUGCAAGUGGAUUUUCAAACGCAAGUUGCAUGCUGAUGGGACUUUUCAUCGCAACAAAGCGCGUCUUGUAGUCAAAGGCUUUACUCAGGUUCUUGGUCUGGAUUAUAGUGACACGUUCAGUCCUGUUGUUUGACCUACAACCAUUCAAAUUGUUCUUGCUUUAGUUGUUUCACACAAUUGGCCACUGCAUCAAAUAAACAUUGACAAUGCUUUUUUACACGACAACUUACAAGAACAUGUAUACAUGGCUCAACCACUUGGGUUUGUUUCAUCUCCGCAUCCUCAACAUGUAUGCAAACUGAACAAAGCUAUAUAUGGUCUAAAACAAGCUCCUCAAUCCUGGUUUCAGAAGCUUCAUCAUACUCUUAGAGAUAUGGAUUUUCAAUCUUCUAAAAGUGAUUCUUCUCUGUUCAUCAAGUUCUGGGAUGGUAAUAUCUUACUCAUUCUUGUGUAUGUCGAUGACAUUCUUAUUACUGGUAACUCAUUUAAUGUAAUUCAAAAGUUUAUUUUUGCCAUACAAACUAUUUUUCCUUUAAAAGAUCUUGGCAUAUUGCAUUAUUUUCUUGAUGUUCAGGUCUCAUCACUACCAGAUGGUAGUUUAUUCUUGUCUCGGAAAAAAUAUACAAUUGAUCUUCAGCUGCGAACUGAUAUGCUUCAUGCCAAAUCCCAACCCACACCAAUGAUUUCUUCUUUGCGGUUAACUAAAUAUGGUAGCACAGCUGUUCCAGAUCCCACUCUUUAUAGAUCUACUGUUGGAGCACUUCAAUAUCUCACUAUCACACGUCCUGACCUUGCCUUUUUUUGUGAACAAAGUCUAUUAGUUCAUGCAUGCUCCUCACGAACACCAUUGGAAAGUUGUGAAACGAAUUUUAAGAUAUGUUGUUGGCACCAUUGCGCACGGUCUCCAUCUUCAUCCCAGUUCUACAUCAUCCAUAAUGGGUUUCAGUGAUGCUGAUUGGGCAACCGAUUUGGAUGAUAGACGCUCCACAACAUUGCUCUACUUGGGAAAAAAUCUUAUCUCAUGGUCUUCUAAAAAACAAAGGGUCGUCUCUCGAAGCACUACAGAAGCUGAGUAGCACAGUAUCGUUGUUGUUCUCGCAGAGCUGUUAUGGAUUCAAUUUCUUCUAACAGAGCUCCGACAAGUUUUCUCUCCAUCUACAAUAUACUCAAAUAAUCUUGGAGUUGUUCUUAUGGCCGCCAAUUGUGUCAUGCAUUCCAAACCUUUGAGCUUGUCCUUUGUAAAAAUAACUAUACACCUUCAUCAGGACACGGAAAAAUAAUUUACAACUUUUUCAUUUUACUCAUCCAAGUUAUAUAACAAUGUUAAAUUGCAUUCAAUUAAAUUUUUAUGGACUAAAACUAGUUUACACGUGAAUUAAAUAAAUAAAUUUUCUAAAUAUUCAAUGAUUUAAAUAUCAUGCCGACUUAGCAAAGCAACUUAAACAAACAUGGAAGUGAUUUGAAGUAUGUGAAUAAAAAGUUUAGUUAUUGGUAAAAUUGAGAAUCACGAAUUUAAUAAUUUGGAGGGAAUGUGGUAGGUAAUAGUUGAUAAAUUUAAUUAUAUAAAACUAGAACAAGCUAUAACAUCAUCAUUUCUUAAAGAAAAGAGAAAGCACAAUUUUAGAAUAAUUAAAAAAAACGUAAUCUUAUUAUCAUAUCUAGUGUACUUUUGUGAUAUUGAAAGGCACACGAAGGUUACAACUACGUGUCCUUUUAUGGUGAUCAUAGUCACAAUAAAACAAUAUUAUUGAACCUUUUGUAAUCAAGUGUUUUCAUAUUUUUUUUUCAAACCCUUUCUCACUUUGCUUUGCACCUAACAUUAACAAUGGUGAAUAUUUGUUGUGGGGAUAUGCCAUGAUUUAGAAGAAAAAAGAAAGUGAUAAUCAUGAACUAGUUUUUUUUUCCACACUCGUGUAAUUUAUUUUUGGAUUUUUGGAAAUAGACAAAUUAAAAACUUAUUAUUUGAAAGAUACGAGUUAAUUUUUAGCAAAUCGUGUGUAUACGUUCAUGAUUUAUAAAUAUUUCAAACAAGUCGUAUUGAAUAUGAUUUCCUGUGAUCAGAUUUCUACGAAAUCGUACUUAAAAAUUGUAUUUUAAUUAGUAUACAAAAAAUUGAAUUAGUGAUAUCGUUUACCUGAAAUGUGAUUUUAAAAAGUUAAAGAAAAAGUGAAAUCUUAUAAUUAAAAGACGAUUUUAAUAAUUAUAAAAAUGAAUUAAAAAUAAAAUUCUACAGGACAAAUUCAACAACUUCUUUCAGAAGAAGGUUAUUAUUAUUUUUAAUGAUAUAAUAAUUUAAAAAAUAAUUAAUUAUUAUUUUAAUUAAAAAUAAUGUAAAAAUUAAUAAUGAUGAUAAAAUAUGUUAAAAAAAAUCAAAAUUAGAUUUUACUAUAAUUAAUCUCUACAACUAAAUAUUUCUUAAAUUAUUACACCGUUUAAAGAAAUUUAAAAAGUUUUUUUAAAAAUAUCAUUGAAUUGGACCAAUAGCAUUUAAGUUUAUAUUCAUUUUUUUAUAAUUAUUAAAAUCGUAUAAUUUUGUAACUUAUUAAGAUCGUAAUAAGAUUUCUUCAAAAUUUUGCCAAAUUCAGGAAUAAAUUUUUUAAUUUGCCCAUUUCCGAAAACUCAAAAAGUAAAUUGCACUAGGCUGGGAAAAAGGUGCAUGAACUAACUAGCUUUCACGUUGUAAAACCAUCCAUUAUUGUAGUUAGUGUUUUGAAAGCAUAACUACAAAUCAAGUAAAAAAACUCACAACUUUAAAUUAGGCAUUACAAGCAACUUAUUUUAGGUCAAAUUUGAACAAGAAAUCAUCAUAUAAAGUUGUAGAAAAUUUGACAACUGUAAUUGAUAAAACUCCAAACAAACUUUGCAUAAGCAUCGCAUCAAUCAAAUGCCUCUAGAAAGACAUUAACAAACAAUGAGGUAAAGCAAAACUAGUUUUAGAUUUGAUUUAUCAAACUGUGAGCAUGUUUCAAGGGACAUGGUAGAAACUUAAGAUACAAAACCAAGGAACCAAACCCUAACAAAAGUCCAGCAGUCGACAAAAACAGAACAUGUAGAUGAUAAUCUGGAUCACAACUUGAUGCAUAUGGUUUAUUCAUAGAUCCAUGAGUGUUGGCUGCUUUGCCAGUUAACAGGGCCAUCAGGGAACCACAAGGCAAUUUCCUUGCGAGCACUCUCAACUGAAUCACUUCCAUGGAUAACAUUCCUACACAAGAACAUCUUCAUAAGAAAAAGUACAAAAUUUCACUGAAAAAUUCAUUGGAGAACACAAUCCAAUUGAAAAGGUACAAAAAUCACUUCUGAUUCAUCUGAGAUUAGUAAAAUAUGGAUUUGUUGAUAAACUUUCACAAAAAUACCAACAAAUUUGAUUUCUAAGAAUACAAUGACAUACAGGGCUUCAGGAUAUAGAAGAUCAAACAGCAAAAAGAUAACCUAAUAUCCACAUAACUAAAUUAGAAACAUGAACAAUGGAAACACAUUUAGUUGCAGCUUGAACAAAAAACUUGAAAAAAGAAUAGCAAUGAAGAACAAGAUUGUGAAGAAAACAAAAUCUUACCUUCCAAUGUCAACAGCAUAGUCACCACGAAUAGUUCCAGGCUCAGAUUGAGCUGGGUUAGUGGCCCCAAUUAUCUUUCUCCCAGUAACCACAACAUUCUUACCCUCCCAAAUCAUGGCAACAACAGGGCCAGAGAUGAUGUAAUCCACCAAUCCACUGAAGAAAGGCUUGGCAGAUAAAUCAGCAUAGUGCUUCUCAGCAAAAGGACGCUCCACAGUAACAAGUUUCAAACCUGAAACCAAAUCACAUUAAAACAAUCAUUUGCUAAUAACAAUUUCAAAACUAAAAAAAAUUGUCAUAACUCAUACUAAGACCAAGAUUGUGGUGUUGGUAAUCAUGUGUCUAGAUAUAAGAAUUCAAUCGAAUAUGAUGUCUAAGCAAAAAACACAAGCAUGAACUCUAGCUUUUUAGUCUAUAUCAGAAACAAAACAAUACGUUCUGAUCUGAGGUUGCUCUCACAAGUCACAACAAAAAUUCAGUAUACUAUGAAGCAGUUAACUGAAGAUUACCUUUCAAGUAGAAACCUUUCUUCUCAAAUCUGGCGAUGAUCUCACCAAUCUGAAACAGAAUCACUAAUCAGUCAAAUAAAUCACAUGCAUGAACCUUUAAAUUAAAAAACAUCGACAUUUAAAAUCGAAUUACCGACACAAACAAAUCAUUGCCAAAACAACAAUCAGCAAAUCUUCUAAAAACUCAAAUUUCCCAAAGCCCGGAAACUCGUCACCAAACCAGUCAACCCAUUUUCUGAAAAGACAUAAAUAGCAAACCCACCUUCACAAAAUUCCGCAAAACCCAAAAAAAAAUCACUAACAGUCAUUGACCCAUUUCCUGAAAAGUCAUGGAUAGCAACCCCAUCUUUUCAAAACACGCAAUUUCCUAAAACCCAGUUCAGAAUAAACAACAAAAAUUAAAAACAAACACUAUAAAACCAGAAACAAAAAAGUUAAGAGAAAACUAAACGCACAAGGCCUCUCUGAACGCCAUCAGGCUUGAUCAUGAUGAAGGUUUGCUCGGCCAUCUCUCUCUUUUGAUGUUUUUUUCGGUGUUUUGGUAGUGAGUGAGUGAGAUGGAGCGAGAGAUAUACGGUAGAGGAGUGAGAGAGAAAAGGGGUAUUUAUAUACGGUGCUGAUGAAGAACACUCCAACCCUAACCCUAAUUUUCACGAACGAAUAUUCUCCCUUUGGCCUUGGGAAUCAUUUUCAUGUUCUUUUACUUCUCUUACCUAAAUAUAUUCUAAUUCUCUAUUUUAGAAGACUUUUGUAAUACCUACAUAGUGAUUCUCUCCUUUUUUAUAAUUCCCAGUAAAUAAGUUUGUAUAAUUUUCUUUUCCAAUAGAAAAGAAUAAAGUUAACACAAGAUAUUUUGAUUAUAUACUUAAAAAUAUAUAAUCCUAAUACUUGAAAUACAUGAAAUAUAAUAAGUUUAAUGUGUAAUACAUGAAGAAAAGGUAUGUUGUUAAACAAGAUGUUUUGAUGUCUUAAAAUUCAAGUUAAAAACUUGAAGAACUUGUUCAUAGAAGUUAGUGUUGUUUGGUUAUUUUGAAACUUGUUAAUAAUUUACUUCUUAAGAUGAUUCAAGUUCAAUUAAAUAUUUACCUUUUUUAAAAGAUGGGUUUUUUUAAAAGGAUGUGAAAUUUCAACCUGUUGAACUGAGUGAUUUUUAAAAUGGUUUGGAAAAGCUUAGCUUUGUUUUGGCUUUGCUAUCAAACAGAUUCAAUAAGUUGUUUCAAUAAAUCAACUAGUUAUUUUUUUGAAAACCUUAAAAGAAUUAUGUUAAGUGAUUUUAAUUAGUUUUAAAUGAUUCUAAUAGCUUUUGGUUUUUUAUUUAACUACUUUGACUAUUUGAUUGGGGUAUAUAAAUGUUGUUUUAUGCUCCUAUGCAUUAAUUAAGAAAGAGAGAUUAAUCAAAAAUAGUUUUCCAGAUUUUCAAAGCUUUGGAUCAUCUCAAGUGUGUGGAAUAGGAUUGGAUUUUGUACUUCUGAACCUUAAGCUUUGAUUUACCCAGAUGUAUUUUAUUCCCUUCUUUCUUGAACAUUCUAUUUUUUGUGUGUUCUUGUGUAAGGCAGUUUAAAAAGGUGUUCCUGGAAACUGUGUUGUUUGCCAAAGAAUGGUGUGUGUUCUUGAAAUGAUCAAGAUCAUCACUCUUGGUGUGAGUUUUGUAAUCUAGGGUUGAUUACAUAGUGAAUUCUCAGAAGUUAGCUGAGGACUGGAUGUAGCUAUUGGAUAAGAGUGAACCAGUAUAAACAUCUUGUGUGAUUCUCUCUCUUCCUACACUAAUAAACUAUUUUAACAUUGUUUUUCAAUUCUGCUUGCUGGUAUAAACAACCGGUUGUUUCGUGAAAACAACUGGUUGAUUUUCUGGAAUCAAACUUAAAACGGUUUUUUAUUGGUUGAACAGUAUUUUCAAUUGAGUGAUUCUUCAUAACUUUUCACUCUACCUUCAUUUUUUGCGAAAAUCAUUCAAAAAUAAUUUUCCCCCCCUCUUGUUUAGGCCUCUAAUUCUAACAAUUGGCAACAGGAGUUGAGUUCUUGAAAGUUACUCAAGUUUCGAUUCUAAAACCUUUUUUAAAAUGGCUAAAAAAAACUACCCUUUGGGGAGGGUGCUUCUAUAAACAAACCACCUUUGUGUUUGUGGACUGAACUAUCAAUUUUGCAAUGUUAGAAUGAAAAUUUUUGUUGAAUCAAUUGAUGAAGGAAUCUAAGAUGCUAUUGUAAAUGGCCCUUUUAUACCCAAAUUUAAAAAUAGGAGAUGUGGAACAUUCUUGAGGUUACCCAUGAAGACACAAACUGAUGAGAGGAGGGAAAGGAAGCAUGCCUAGGUCCAAGAAUAUGAAAUGUUCAGAAUGCUUAAAGGGGAAACCAUCUCAGAUGUGCAGAAAAGAUUCUCCCACAUAGUGAAUCGCCUCAUCAGCCUUGGCAAGAUCUUUGAAAGGGAGGAGCUGAACAUCAAGAUCCUCAAAUGCUUGGAUAGAUUAUGGUAACCAAAGGUCACUGCAAUUUCUGAAUCCAAGGAUUUGACCAAGACUACAACCUCCUUAUUUGGUAAGCUAAGGGAGCAUAAGCUUAAAAUGAACCGGCUAAAUGACCAAGAAAAUGAAGAAAAACAUGUGAGGAGCAUCGCUUUAACAGUUGUUGGUUACAAGGAUGGUUAAGACUCAAGUGAGUGCAGUGAUGGUGAGACUUUCAACUUGCUCAAAAGGAAGUUUAGCAAGUUCUUGAAGAAGAAGAACCGGGACAAGAAUCAACCAUCAAACAGGUAUAAUAGUAAGAAAGUGAAUUUAUUCAAUUCUACAAACUAUACUUAUUUUGGAUGUGGUAAGCAGGGUCAUAUUAGGGUUGAUUGUCCAAAUAAUGAGAGCAAGGAGUGAGGGUCAAGCAAGAAGCUUGAAAAGAAGGGCAAAACAAGAAGAUUGAAAAGAAAGUCAAAACAAAAAGAGCCUACAUUACUUGGCAAGAUAAUGAUGAUUCAUCCUCUAGCUCAUCAUUAAAGGAAGAUGAAGAAGUCAAUUUGUGUUUGAUGGCCAAGGAAGGAAGAAUCAGAAACCAGUAGUGUAAGUUCUAGCACUUCAAUUAAUUUUUUGAAAAUUAUAGUCAACUUCUUGAUUCCUUCAAAAAGACUCAUGAAGAAGCAAAUAGAUUGGCCUUUUUGAAUAACCGGUUGAAAGGUUUAAACAAAUGGUUGGAAAAUAGAGUCAAGACCUUGGAAGAAAAGUUGAACAAUUCAAAAACUGAUUUUGAAAAUUUGGAAAUGAUUUACAAAGUCUCUUUUUGCAAGUGUGAUUCUAGCUUUUGUGAAAACUGUGAAGUUCUUCAAAAGAAAGUCCAUUAUCUUUUAAAAACUAUGGACAAGUUUUCCAAAGGCCAAUCAAACCUUGAAACUUUUCUUGCAUCAUAAAAUUGUGUUUUUGGAAAGGCUGGAUUGGGAUUUAACUAAAACAACAAGAAUAUAUCAGUUUCAAAACCCUUUUCUAGUUUUUUUGAAAAAUAAUUGAUUGUUUUGUCGAAACAACCGGUUGAAACGUGCUUUUACUGCAUGAAAAGGAGCCAUACUGUUAGAUUUUGUAGAGUAAGAAGGUUUUAUGUUUUCAUAGGUGUUUUAAAGUGGGUUCCUAAAAAUUCUAAGGUUUCUAAUGUCCAGUUAAUGCCCAUUGACCCAAAUUUGUAAGGGGACCAAAUCUUGCUUCUUGAUCUUAUUUCUUGCAGGGUUCUUUGAUGGCAAACCAACACCUAUGGUACCUGGACAGUGGAUGUCCCAAGCACAUGACAGGAGAUAAAAGCAAGUUUGUUAAUCUACCUCAAGCAAUAAGGUCACGUGACAUUUUGGGGACAACAACAAAGGAAAAAUUCUUGGAAGAGGAACCACUGGCGACAAAGAAUACCUUCUUGAUUAAUGAUGUGCUAUUUAUGGAAGGUCUAAAGCAUAUCCUCCUAAGCAUAAGCCAGUUUUGUGACAAAGGUUAUCAAAUAACCUUCAAGCCCAACACAUGUGAGAUAAAGUUGUCCAAAUCAUAGGAAGUUUUGUUGAUUGGUAAAAGGAUCAACAAUGUCUAUUUACUUGAUAUCUCACAUUUUGCAUCUAUUGACUGCCUUCUAAUCAAACAUGAGGAAUCAUGGUUAUGACAUUGAAGGAUAGCAUAUAUCCACAUGCAUCAUCUAAAUAAGUUGAUCUCAAAAGAUCUUAUAGUAGGUUUACCCAAACUCAAGUUUGAGAAAGACCACAUAUGUGAAGCAUGUCAAAAGGGGAAGCAAAUCAAACACUCUUUCAAACUGAAAAAUGUUGUUUCAACUUCCAAACCCCUUGAAUUGUUGCACAUGGAUUUGUUUGGUCCUUCAAGAACCAUGAGUCUUGGUGGAAACUACUAUGCAUUUGUAAUAGUUGAUGAUUUCUCUAGGUUCACAUGGACACUAUUUCUGGAAUCCAAGAGUGAUGCAUUUUCUACAUUCAAAAAGCUUGUCAAGAGAUUACAAAACAAGUGUUGCAGUAACAUUUGUGUCAUUCGUAGUGAUCAUGGGGGAGAAUUUUAAAAUGAAAAAAAUCAGUGGUUUUUAUGAAAAACUUGGUAUUUUCCAUAAUUUUUAUGCUCCUAGAACUCCCCAACAGAAUGAGGUUGUGGAAAGGAAGAAUAUGUCUCUUGAGGAACUUGCUAGAACCAUUUUGAGUGAGUCUUCAUUGCCAAAAUAUUUUUGGGCUGAUGUUGUUAGCACAACUUCCUAUGUGAUGAAUAUAGGGUCCUCGUUAGACCAAUUUUGAAAAAAAACCCCUUUAUGAACUAUUUAAUGGCAUAAAACCCAACAUUAGUCAUCUAAAAGUGUUUGACUGCAAAUGUUAUAUUCUUAAUAACGGAAAGGAAAACCUUGACAAGUUUGAUGAAAAAGCAGAUAGUGGUAUCUUUCUUGGUUAUUCCUUAACUAGUCAUGCUUAUAGAGUGUAUAACAAAAGACUUAUGACUGUGGAAAAGUCCAUUCAUGUUGUCUUGGAUGAAACUAACCCUACAAAACAUGACUUUAUGAAGAAUUAUGCAGAAGACGAUGAUCAGAACAUCAUUUUGCAAAAGCUAGAAUCCUGUCCAGAAAAACAACUGGUUGAUUCUGCGAAACAACUUGUUGAAAUUCUGCAUUAGGAUGAUCUUCUUAAAGAAUGGAGAAUUCCAAGAGACCUUGAUGUGGACAACAUCAUUGAACAAAUUGAUAAUGGGACUCUCCACUCGAAACUCUAUCUCUAAUUACUACAAACACAUGACUUUUGUGUCUCAAAUUGAACCUAAAUCCAUUUAUGAUGCACUUAAAGAUGAAAAUUGGGUUGUUGCCAUGCAUGAUGAGCUGAAUCAAUUUACUAGAAAUGAUGUGUGCUUUCUUGUUCCUAAAACUGAUUGCAUGGAUGUCAUUGGAACUAAGUGGGUGUUUAGAAAUAAAGUGGAUGAAUAUGGUGUAAUAACUAGAAACAAAGCUAGGUUGGUUGCUAAAGGUUAUUAUCAAGAAGAAGGCAUUGAUUAUGAUGAAAUAUUUGCACCUGUGGCUAGAUUAGAAGUUGUGAGAUUAUUGCUUGCAUUUUCUUGUAUGAGUGGGUUCAAACUUUUUUCGGAUGGAUGUGAAAAGUGCAUUUCUCAAUGGAUUCAUCAAUGAAAAAGUCUAUGUUGUUGAACAAGAUGCUUUGAUGUCUCCAAAUCCAAGAGAAAAGCUUGAAGACCUUGUUGUUGGGUGUGUCUGUGUUGUCUAGUUGUUUGAAAUUUGUUAAUUCACUCCUUAAGAUGAUCUAAGUUCAUUUGAAUCUUUAACCUUUUGAAAAGAUGAGUUUUCUAAAAUGCUAUUAAAAUUUCAACAGGUUGUUUUUUCGAAACUACAGGUUGUUUUACCUUAGCAGUUUUUGAAAAGGUUUUGAAAAAGCUUGACUUUGCUGUCAAGUCAAAUCAAUCGAUUGUUUCGACAAAACAACCGAUUGUUUUUCUGAAAACCUUAACAAAAUUCUGUUAAGCGAUUUUAAUAUGUUUUAAAUGAUCCUAACUAACUUGGCUCCUUUAUUAAAUGCUUUUGACCACUUGAUUGGUCUAUAUAAAGGUGGUUUUACGCUCCUAAUCUUGAUGUAAGAGAAAAAUUUUAUCAAAACAGUUUUUCCAAGAUUUGAAAGAGCUUUGGAUCAUUCUUAAGUGUGUGGAAUAGGAUUGGGUUCUAAUUCUGAACUUUAAGCUUUGUAAUACCCAGGUGUAUUCUAUUCCCUUCUUCCUUGAUUAUUGUAUUUAUGUAGUUGUGUUGCCAAGGAGUGUUGUGUGUUCUUGAGGUGUUCAAGAUCAACAUUCUUGGUGUGGUUCGCCAAAGGUAGUGUGUUUCUUGAGGGGUUCAAGGUCACUACUUUGGUGUGUGAUGUUUGUAAUCUGGUUUUGAUUGCAUAGUGGAUUACCCAGUGGUUUCUGGGGACUGGAUGUAGCUCUUGGUGUAAGAGUGAACCAGUAUAAAUCUGUUUGUGUGAUUCUCUCUUUCCCUGAUCUCACAUAUAUCUAUUUUAAGUUGUUUUUAUUAACUGCUGAUAAAAACAACCGAUUGUUUCGACAAAACAACCGGUUGAUUUUCUGGAAAUCAACUAAAACAACUUUGUGCAUUGCUUUCCUUGAUUCCUUUCUCUAUAAUUCUUCAUUGGCUUUCAUUAUACCUUCAAAGUUUGCGAAAAUCUCUUAUAAACAAUUCACCCCCCUCUUGUUUAAGGCCAUAUAUUCUAACAUAUGUCUCAUAACCUCCCGGAUUUGAAGAUCACCAACAUCUUACUCAUGUGUAAAAAGGCUUUGUAUGGACUCAAGCAAGAACUAAGACAGUGGUGUGAGAGGCUUAGCAAUUUUCUCUUAUCUCAUGGCUAUGAAAGAGGCAAAUUUGAUAAGACUUUUUUUUAUUAAAAAGUCAAAAUCUGUCAUCAUCUUGAUACAAAUUUAUGUUGAUGAUAUCAUCUUUGGAGCUACUAAUGAUUGCCUAUGUGAGGAAUUUGUUGAAGCUAUACAGGGGGGAUUUUAAAUGUUUAUGAUGGGGGAGUUAUCCUUCCUCUUAAGGUUGCAGGUCAAGCAAUUAAAGGAUGAUAUAUUCUUGAGUAAAAACUAAGUAUUGCAAGAAAAUUCUCAAGAAGUUUGAAAUGGAAAACUACAAAGAAGCAUCCACACCAAUGUCAACUAGCUGUUACAAGGAUGCUGAUUUGGCUGGAACAGUUGUUGAUCAAACCAAAUUCAGAGGAUUGAUUGGUUUCUUUCUUUAGCAGGCUCGACAUCAUGUUUUCAAUUUGCCUAUGUGCUAGAUUUUAAUCAAAUCCAAAAGAAUCACACUUCAAGGCUGCCAAACGAAUUCUGAAAUAUCUCAAAGGCACAACCAGUGUUGGUUUAUGGUAUCCCUCUCACUCUCCUAUAAAUUUGGUUGGAUACUCUGAUUCUAAUUUUGCAGGGUGCAAGCAAGAUAGAAAGAGCACAAGUGACAUUUGUCAUCUUCUUAGAGCAAGCCUCAUAUCCUGGCAUAGCAAGAAUCAAGCUUGUGUGGCUCUCUCAAUUGCAGAAGUUGAGAAUAUAAUUGUUGGCAGUUAUUGUGCACAAAUACUUUGGAUCAAAGAGCAGCUAGAAGACUUUGGCUUGAAGGUUAACAAUGUGCCCUUGCUUUGUGAAAACACAAGUGCAAUCAACCUCAUUAAAAAUCAAAUUCAACAUUCAAUGACUAAGCACAAUGAGAUUCGCCACCAUUUUAUAAGAGAUCAUUUUGUAGAGCAUGGGAACUUUGAUGUUUCAAAUCCAUGAUGAAGCUUGAAGUUGUGUUGCUUUUGGUUUGGGUUUAGAUUAGAAUGUUUAAAAUCUAUGUAAAGAUCAAUUUUUGACACUUGCACAAAGCUUGCCUAAAUUUGUUUUAAAAAAAGAAAAGUGUUUUUCUAAGAAAAGAGAAAAACAACCGGUUGAAUUAUCGAAAUAAUCGGUUGUUUGUCACCUAGCUGGCUUAUAGGUUUUAAAACUGUUUUUGACUUGGUUAUGUAAUUGCCUAACCAAUUCAACCGGUUAAAUCGUCUUUUCAACUAGUUGAUUGUGACUUUCUCUAACAUUUUUUUGAAAAACUUGUUAUUCUAUUUUGGGUGUGAUCAAAACUGCUUUAGGUCAUUAAUGUUGCCUUGAACGGCUAGUUUUUAAGUGCUAUAAAUAUAGCCUUUCUUUUAAAACAAAAAACAACAAGUUUUUACACAGUUUGAAAUCAAAGAGAGAUUGAGAUUAGUUUUUUAAAGAAGUUUUCAAAAUAUUUGCAAGAUUGUUGUUAAGCUUUGCACUGGUACAAGAUCUGAUUAUAGGACUUCCUGGUUUGUGUAAUCUCAUGUGUUUUCUAUUUCUUUCAUGAUUCUUGUAAUUGUACUUUCAUAAACUUGUAAGUGUGUGUGAAAUCCUGCAAAUUCAGAGAGUGUUCUGACUUAAGGUGUGCGGUGUUGCAAAGAGGGUGAGUGGGUCUUGUGGUUUUCAAGGUCACCUCUUUGUGGUUGUGUUUGGUGUAAUAUGUAAGUGAUUACUAGUGGAACUCAGAGGUUGUUCUGAGAACUGGAUGUAGCUCAAGGUUGAGUGAACCAGUAUAUAAUUUGUUGUGUAAAUCUUUCUAUCUCUAACUCCUUAUAACUAUUUGUUUUAAUUCUGGUUUUGUUGCUGAUAUAAACAACCGGUUAAAACGUGAUUUUAACCGAUUAAAAUUCUGAAAACAUUUUUUGUAUCAUUGGUUGAUUGCUUUCCUUAAUUACUUAUAUGUGAUUGUUUGAUAAAGGUUCAUUCUUAAUCAAUCUUUGACAAACAAUUCACCCCUCUCCCCCCCUCUUGUUUAAGCCAUCAAUUCUUACACAUGUGAGCAAUGGGGAUUAUGAAGUUCAGUUUAUUGAAACUGAAAAAGAAACUUACAGAUAUCUUCACUAAGCCACUGCCUCGAGAAAGGUUUUUCUUCUUAAGAUAUGAGUUGAGUAUCCUUGAUUCUUAAAAUCUUUCUUAAUCCAUUCUCUUAUUGUAUUUGUGAAGACAAAUAGGGGGAGAAAAUGUGGUUUUGUGUUGUAGUUUUGCUACUCUAUGGUGCUAUAUUUUAUCCUGUUGUUGUAGAUAUAGCUUUGAUGGUUCUGCUACACAUUUUUUUGCUGCCACACACAUUGAUUUUCUGCAUAUGCAUGCGCAGAUUUGUGUGUGUCUUCUCAACUUUGUGUUAUCCUGUUGCUAUAUAUGUUUUGUAUGCUAUACAAUUUUGUUUUGCAGGAUCUUUCAAGUUUAAAAAUUACAACACCAGCAAACCAGAAAUUUGUCUUCAUCAAAUAGGGGGAGAUUGUUGAAGAAGAUGCUUUGAUGUCUCCAAAUCCAAGUGGAAAGCUUGAAGACCUUGUUGUUAGGUGUUAGUGAUGUUUAGUUGUUUGAAACUUGUUAAUUCACUCCUUAAGAGGAAUCCAAGUUCAAUUGGAUCUUUACCUUUUUGAAAAGAUGGGUUUUCUAAAAGGGUGUGAUUUUUCAACCUGUUGAAGUAUCGAUUCAAUCUGUUGUUUGACACUGAGUGGUUUUUAAAAUGGUUUGGAAAAGCUUAGGUUUGUUUUGGCUUUGCUGUCAAAUAGUUUCAACCGGUUGUUACGAUAAAUCAACUAGUUGUUUUCGUGAAAACCUUAACAAAAUUUUGUUAAAUGGUUUUAAUCUGUUUUAAAUGAUUCCAACAACUUUUGGUUUUUAAUUUAACUGCUUUGACCAUUUUAUUGGGGUAUAUAAAGGUUAUUUUACGCCCCUAUGCAUUAACUAAGAAAGAGAGAUUAAUCAAAAACAGUUUUCAAGAUUUCAAAAGCUUUGGAUCAUCUCAAGUGCGUGGAAUAGGAUUGAGUUUUGUACUUCUGAACCUUAAGCUUUGAUUUACCCAUAUGUAUUUUAUUCCUUUCUUCCUUGAACAUUGUAAUUUUGUGUGUUCUUGUGUAAGAAAAUUUCAGAAGGUGUUUCUGGAAACUGUGUUGUUUGCCAAAGAGUGAUGUGUUUUCUUGAAGGGUUCAAGAUCAUCACUCAUGGUGUGUUUAGUAAUCUAGGGUGUUGAUUACAUAAUGAAUUCUCAGUGGUUAGUUGAGGACUAGAUGUAUCUCUUGGAUAAGAGUGAACCAGUAUAAACAUCUUGUGUGAUUCUCUCUACCCCUACACUCAUAAAUUGUUUUAACAUUGUUUUUAAUUUCUGCUGGUAUAAACAACCGAUUGUUUCGUGAAAGCAACUAAUUGAUUUUCUGGAAUCAAACUUAAAAUAGUUUUUUAUUGGUUGAACAAUAUUUUCAAUUGAUUGAUUCUUCAUAGCUUUUCACUUUACCUUCAAUCUUUGCAAAAAUCUUUCAAAAACAAUUCAUCUCCCCCCUGUUUAGGCCUUUAAUUUUAACACAUGUAACAAACAUUAAAUCAAAUCAUAAAUACAUAUGGUUUAUUUGAUUGACGAUAGGGUUAAGUUUCAUUUGUCCAUUCAGAAUAUAAGUACAAAUCAAGGCUUCUAAAGUUACAUGCAUAGGAAAUAUUUUAAAGCUUAAACAUGAAGAAACAAAUAAUGUUUUUUACGUUUGUACCAGGUGAAUUCAUGUCAAACAACAAAAUACAAAAAUGUAUAAAGAUAUUAAUUAAAGUUUAGAUUACCAAAAACUUCUCUAACAAAGCUAGUUUAAACUCUAACUUAGUUGUCUAUCUCGUAAAGUGUACACUUUUAACCAAUAUUUAGUGUAAAAGGAUUUGUUACCGAAGAAAAUAAGUAUUGUCAGCUAUCAGAGAAGUUGUGUAAAGAAGAAAAGAAAAAUUAAACGUCGUGCAUUUAAUGUUUCCCAACAUAAGGGCUCAUGAUGAUGAUAGAAGAAAAUGAAAAGAGUUAAAGUUACUAAACGACCAAAAAUUAUAAUGCAAUGUAAAGGCUAUAAGAAAACAUGCUUUGAAGAAAGAUUACGCAAGAAAGAUAGGCAUAAUUUGCAAGUACGACUGUUGAAAUUUCUUUGUGCCCUAUUGUUUGUGUUCAUCUCCUCCUAUGAAUAAAGAGCUUAAACAUCAUAUACAUCAAAAGAUGCUACAUUCUCUAGUGAGCAAAACCAGUGAUCAAUUGAUUAUUUAGAUCUUGUAUAUGUGUUGAGCUAAGAGUGAUUAAUGUCAAGAAUACUUAGUAGUGGCUUGAUCAAAGUAGUCAUUUGUACUUUGCAACGGAAGACGGCUUAGUGGAACUUGACUAGUAGGUCAAAAACUAAAAGUAGUCUUUUUUUUUUCUUAAAUCUUUUACUUUUAUUCUUUUUAACUAACUAAAGAAUGAAGGAAAAAAUAAAACAAAAUUUUACAAAGAUUUCUCAAACCUUCUAUUUAUAAAUUUAUCAUCUAACAACAUAUAAAAAGACUAUAUUAGCGAAAAAUUGCAAACAAAAUUCAAAACACAAUUCAACACCACUUUCUUGUGUUAUUUUCUGUUUUUCACAAAAAUAAAUUUAUAUCUAAAUUAAAAUAAAAGUACUUAAGUUAAUUUAUAUCAUUUUUUGUCCAUAAUCUAAACUUUAAAUUAUCAAGGUACUUGUAGUAUGAAAACUAUUGGAAUAAGAUUGACAAUAGACGACGUUAAUUUUGUUUUGAUGUGGCAAAUGGAAUGUUAACGUGAACUAUUUUUUGACUUCCACAAUAUAUUUACAGGGAGAAACGAAGGAAAAAACAAAGAGUUACAAAGUUCAUCCCCUUUUGUCUUAGUUCACUAUGACAUUUGGGGACCAAUUCGUGUUAAGUCUAUCUUGUGUCAUAGUUUGUUUUCAUAUGAAAUAUGAGUGUAGUCUUUGAAUUGCACUUCCAUUAGUUUCCUUUGAAAUAAAAUUUGCAAACCAAAUUAUUUGAGUAUCUUUCUUAUAUUACGUUAUACAAUAAUAAAUAUUUAAUUUUAAAUAAAAAUAAAAUUCUCACAAAAUACAUCCAUGGAGACCAAAUAUACAAACUAACAAGUGUGAAAAUGGUAUUUACAAAAUAACUUUUUUACCUUUGAGAUAAAUAAGUUAAAUAGCUUACUUGUAGCAAAGUAGAAAGAAAGAAGUAAGGAUUCUAAUACAUUUAUAACAAGUGUACAUGAGAAGAAAAAUAAGAUUUAAUUUCUAGAAGAAAAAAACUAUAGAUUAUAAACUAAUUUUAGUUUAUGAAAAAAAAUAUUUAUUUUUCACAUAAAUUGUUUCAAUUUUUAAUUUUAACUUACACAUAAGUUAAUUUUAUCUUAAGAAUGAGUUUAUUUUAUUAUUUUCUCCUAAAAUUCUUUAGAGAAAUUUGUUUUAAAGCCCAUGGUUUAAAGCCCAAUCCAUCAUUAAUGAUGAACCUAAACUACCAUAGGGUGUUUCUUACUACACCCCAUCAUUUUCAUCCUUCAUUUUCCGAAAAGACUAUUUUACCCCUCUUAAAAAUGACUUUCAAAUUAUUUUUUCCUAAAUGUUUCCGAAACAUACUUUUCGAAACACAUUUUAUGAAUUAUGGAUUUACAGAAAUUAAAAAAAUGUGUUUAAAAAAAUAUUUCAAAAUGAUUUUUUUUGUCUUUCGAAUUUCCUGCUGAAACACCUUUUGCUCACACCUUUUGCUUCCACAACACUCCUAUUCCAGAAUUACCCAAAACUGUUAUGGGUAAUUUGGGUAUUUCGAAGAGUGUAGGGUUGUAGGAAGAAAAAUAAAUGUAAAGGUGCAGGAAGAAAACACCCCUACCAUGGUUCAAACACAUACAAAAUCAGAUCGAAAAGGACAAAAAUUCAUACAUAUCAUACAUAAAGGUGACUUCAAGAUCACAUAUAUCAUUGAUACAAACAUCAAUUCGUAUGAAAAGCAAAACAUCACAUACCAUUGUAGCAUAAACAUUCCAAAAUAAGCUACACUUUCUAACAAUUAUAAUGAGACAGAGAAUCCAUGAAACUUUACUGAGAUCAUACUCGACCAAAAUCCCUUGCAUCUUCUAGCAAACCAUUUUCCAAUACUAGAAAGAAAGAUAGUUAAGUAUCAAAAGCUACUCUCUAGUUCGUUCAACAACAUUUCAGACUCACCAUCCAUGUCUUCUCUGUCGUGGAUAUCAUCAUUUCUACCUAUUGUAUCAAUCUUGCUUGAUAAUCCAUCACCAGAUGAGCCAAUAAGUGAUGCAUAAGUUUUAUGUUUACUAAAUUUGGACAGCUUCAACAGUACAAUAAAAGUCUCAGCACUUUCCAUGUCACCUUGUUCUUGGCAAAGCUCAAGGAAUGCAGACAAGUUCAAGGGCUUUGGUCUCCAACUCCUUGAAUUAUCAGCAACCAUAAAAGCGUCUUUCAAGCAGGAUAAGGCCUCAGAAAUCCUCUUAUCUGCAAUGUAGCCCUCCGAGAGAAUCUCCCAUGUAUUUGAAUUUGGAAAACCACCAUCCUCCUUCAUCUGCUUGAAGAAACUCAAAGCCUUAUGAAUAUCACCUGCCUCAACAUACCAGCCUAGGAGAAGGUUUCCUACUCUAGGAUCAUAACUUGACUUUACAGAAACCCAUUCCUGAUAAAGUUUUUCGGCACCCGCAAUAUCAUCCAAUUUAACCAGAGAAGCAAUAAUAGCAUGGUAUCCCAAGUUUGGUGUAUUUUUUGGAAAAACUGUUUUGUACGAAUUCCAAACUCGAUAAACUUCGUCUUUGUUUCGAACACGUCCAUAUAAACUCAGGAGAUAAUGAAAAGGUAUUCUAUCACGACCUUUAAUUCUACUCUCAACCUUUCUUAAGCACUCUUCUGCUUUUUCAGUCUGAUCCAUCCUAAUGUACAUUGAAGCCAUUGUGCUGAAUGUAGACCAGUUAGGGAUAAUGGUAGCAUCUUUUUCCAUCUGUUCAAACACUUGUUCCAUCUUCUCUAUAGAUCCUUGGGAUCCAGAAGAAGAUAACCAGAUAUUAUAUGUAUAGAUAUCUAGCUGUAUCUUUUUUUCCAUCAUUUCAGAAACCAGCAUAUCAACUUUAACAUAUUCCUUUACGUUCAUGUACAAAGUCAUCAUUACAUUAAAUGGUAGUGCAUGUACUACAUAUCCUUUACUCCUCAUUGUGUCAAAUAAAGAUUCUGCCUUUUCCUUCAAUCUGGAAUGCACAUAUACAUUCAGAAGGGCACCAUAAGUCCUCUUAUUUUUUAACUGAUCUUCCAGACUCAGAAAAAAUACUUCUGCACUAGAAAACCCACGAACCUUUGCAAUUAGAUCUAACUGAAUUGCUGCAUCACUCUCAGAAACUCUAAACCGCUCUGGUCUAUUGUUUAUCCAAUCAUAUACCUGAACAUUUGUUCAUUGGUUUAAAAAAUUGUACAUGGCUGAUAUUAAGACAAUUGAAGCAAAUAAGAAAACCCAAUCAGAAAGAGCAAUAUUUUCAUAAUAACCUCCAAAGGAAGCAUGCCAUUAAAUAGAGUAGUGGCCCAAAAAUAGUUUUCCAGAUUAUGCAAAUUUUACUGACAGUAUCUGCAAAUCAGGAAUUAACAAUUAAGGAUGUUAUUAUAGAUGUUAUUGUAUACUUAUCCCAUAAAACCAAGUGCUAAGUAAAUAGUAAAUAGUAAAAAGGCAGCCUAGCUGAGAUGUCAAGUAGCACAUAACAUGAAAGCUUUUUAUAAAAAAAAUAGUAAAAAGGAACAUUUCUAAUUUAAUCAAGGGAAUAGAGCUACCAUGGAAUCAAUCAGGUCUUGUUGUAGUCUCUUAUAGCUCACUGUUCAUCCCUACUUCUUUAUUAGGAUUAUCUGUGAAAUGGACUUUAUUUAUGCAGAGUUUUAUGGUAACUUUGCAAGAACAAGCUAUACCUUUCUGACAUUGCCAAAGGGUACGAAGCAAUCUUUGAUUCUUCAGAAGGAAUGAUAGUCGGAUGAUGAUAAACAUAUACAGCUAUCCACACCAUAAACAAAAUAUAGUUUUGGAAAAGAUUAUUCUCUUAUAGCUGUUAGAACUUUUAAAUAAGGCAAGGGAAGAAGGAAAAAUGUUGAACAGAAAGAACGAUUUUUUGCUAAAUUUAUGGCAAAGAUAAUAUUGGACAUGUCCUUGCAUCGAGUAAGAUAAAAUUCCAAGAGAUAGAUGGUAAGCAAAACUUCUUUGGGAAACCACAAUUAACAGAUUUUCAUUUUCAUGCUCAUGGUCUGAAAAACCUUGGAAAGUUUGUGAAUAGGAAAAAGAAACAUUCACAGACUCAGUAGGUCUUCUGUCUGCACUGUUUAUUUUGUAUGACAUUUGUGUCUUUAGGCAGUUAUAGAUUUGAAUUAGUAUUUGUGUCUUUAGGAAGUCAUGGAAUGUGCCAAUUAUUGUUUGGUGUUUAUAUUCCAACUUGAAUCAAGUGCAAAACUGAAAUAAAAUGGCAUCGCCAAAUUACAAAAUCCUUCAUCAUGAACAAAUGGCAAUGCUCUAUAUUUCAACUCAUGCUAAAGCUGGUUAUCAACUACUGAACAUGAAGAAUGCUACCUAUAUACACUAGCAAAACUGUAGAAUCGUACUUGUAUAAUGUCACAAGGAAAACCAAAAUUGAAUCAAGUUGUUAACCUCAAGGAACAGGAUUUGACAAAAAAGAAUGUCACUAAACUGGUGAGUCCAAUGAAGGUGAAACUUCUCAACAAAAUAAAGGAAAAAGCUCUUGAACAUCAACUAUGCCUAAAAUCUGAUGAAAUAAACUCAAACAGCUAACACUCCAACCUCCCACUGAUAACGCAUUCCACCACUAAUAACUACGUAUCACAAUCUCUUCGGUAAAAAGUAAAACCACACAAACUCACAUAAAGAGAUAAAAGCACCCUAAAUGAAAAAGUGGUUGAAAGAUAGAGUUUUAACCUAGAGUACAAUUUAAAACCCUGGACCAAACAAUUAGCUUAACCAAAAAACAAAACCACAAAUCACAACCUCUUCCGUAAAAAGUAAAAAACACACACAGAUAGCCCCCAUGUUGGAAGAUAGAAUUUUGACCACAGGUGGAAGUGCAAUUUAAAUCCUUAGACCAAACAAAAAAAAAAAACUAUUCAGUUAAAAAACAACACAAACACACACAGUGUAGGAUUGCAGACCCCAAAUGAAAAAGUGGUUGAAAGAUAGAGUUUUGACUUCAAGUGAAAGUGCAAUUCAGAUAACUAGUUUCACAAAAAAAAAUAUCAUUAUCUCAUCAACCAAAUGAAAAAGAGAUUGGAAGAUAGAGUUUUCACUUCAAGUGAAAGUGCAAUUCAGACAAUUGGCUCCCCCAAAAAAGUAAACUAAUAUCACUAUCUCUUCAGCAAAAUGAAAGAGUAAAAAACACAAACACAUAGAGAGCGAGAGAUUAAAGCACCCCAAAUGAAAAAGAAGUUGGAAGAUAGAGUUUUGACCUCAAGGGCUCUCCGAAACUUCUUGUACUUCCUCAACUCCUUGACGACUCUGGAGAGUUCCCACUUGGUGAGGUGUUUGCCUUCGUUCUCCCACCGGUUGAGCACCUCGGCGGAGCUCAUGUCGGGGUCCGGGUUGAGCGUUAUCCGGCGGUACACUUCGUUCCACCGCACAAUGGGGCGACGCUCGUAGUCCACGGUGCCAUAGCUGUGGACCUUGGAGACGGAACACGUUAUCAGAGGGAGGCACGUGGCGCGUGUAAGAGCGAAGGGGAGAGUGGAGGAAGAGAGCUUGAAGGGGAAAGAGUAAGAGAGCGAAGAAGAGAGAGAAAGGGUUUGGUUGUGAAGAGAAGAUUCAAGUCUAAGAACACUCAUUUUUCUCUCUCUCUCUUUCUCAGUCAGUGAAAUGAAGUAGUUGCAGGGAAAUGGUGGGUUGAAGAUAACGGUAACACUCUUUUACGAGUUUCAACCAUGUCAAUAAAUAUAUAUCUAAAAUAAUUGAUUUUGAUAAGUUUGAUUUGCUUUUAAUACAAUCUACUUUUUUUAUUUUACUUUUGUGUAUAAAUAAAUUUUAAUUUUAAUACUUAUUUUUUAGAGGUUAUUAAUAGUUUAAAAACUCUUAUAUGACAAUUUAAAACAUUUAAGUUAUUGUAUUAAAUAUAUUUUAUUUAUGACAAAUUUUAGUUAUAAUAAAUUUGACAGUAUAUGUUUAUUAUGAAUUUUAAUUAUAUGGAACUAGCCACUUUAAUUUUUUUAAAUUUAAGAGUUGGGAUAUGUUUGUUGGUAAAAUUAAUUACAAAUUUGCACUUUUAUUAAAAUUAAUUAAAAAAAUAUGAUUUAUUUAUUUGUAAAUUUUAAUCGUUUAUAAUUAAAAUAUUGUUUCAAGUAUUAUCUAAGAAUUAAUUAACAUGUGAAAAAAAUAUAAAUAAUGUAUAAUUGUCAAAACAUGAAAAAUUAUUAGAAAAUGUAUUAUUUCAAUUAAAAAAUUUAAAUUUGUAAGUGUAAAAGGAUGUGCGUGAAAAUUUGGAAAUACAUUUAAUUUUAAUAAGUUAAAGCGAAAUUUAUUAAUAAAGUGCACAUGGAACGAAUAUUAAAAAGAGUACAUUAGAAUGAAGAAUAUAUAUAUAUAUAUAUAUAUAUAUAUAUAUAUAUAUAUAAAGCUCAUUAUAAUAAUGUUCUAGAAAAUAAUAAAUAUACUCAAAUAUUUAUCAUUUAAAAGAGUGAAAAAUUAUGAAGUUCAUUCGUCUUAAUUCUUCUAUGGAUCCUGUGUACUGAUAUUCAUAAGGUUAUAAUGGACCUAUAUUAAUUGUUGUGAUUAGCUCCACCUCCAUAUGUUCUUAUGUAAUAUUUCGAAUUAUAUAAUUUAGAAGUCUUUUUUUAAAUUUGUAAUUUUAGAUUUUUUUUUCAGAUACAUGAUUAUUUUCGAGAUUACAUAAUCCAGAAAUCUUUUUUCAAAUGCGUGUCCGGAUUACAUAAUCCGAAAACUACUCUAUGGGAGUGACACAAGAAGGAUAAAAAAAUAUUUUCAUAUUUUGUAUAAGAGUGUUUUGUAUGGGGGUGGCAGAAGAACCUAUAGAGGAGCACGAGAAACAAUCAUAGCCUUUGUAUCCUCGCCCCUACUAGUACAGUUGAUUAACAAAGGAAAGAAAUAAGAGACUUAAGGCUAAAGUAUAUUUUAAUAAUUAACAGCAUACAGAAUUAUAUUACUAAAUAAUUAAAAUGUGUAACUAAAUUAACUACCAUAUCUACCUAUGAAAAAUGUGUUAUUCAUAUAUGCAUGUUUAUAUGGCACCAAUGCUUUCAAAAGUUAUUUGUCAUGUACUUCAUUGAUAAUGAGAAUGUACAUACGAGUACAAUAAUUUUUCUUGUAGUAUUUCGAACAUUGAUUCCUCUGAUGUAGCUAUAUCAGAUUUUUCAAUUAGAGUAGAUUCAUACUGGUUCAACAAUCUGAUAUGGAAUAACUUGAAAGCUUUUGUUAGUAGGGGUCACAAUACCAACUUUAGUCAAAAUUACUCACCGCUCUUCCUCAUUGGUAUCUAAGAAAAAAAGGACAAAAAGGAUACCCACACCCUUCAAACCUGACGAUCUCAAACAGACUAACAUACCAGACAAAUCAUAAUGAGCAGCCAGACCAAUUUUGGCUGACAAUAUUCUGGUUUUCUAAACUUCCAUGGACAUAAACUUUGGGCUCUUUAACCUGCAAAGGGUGAAAACAAGGAUCAAUAAUUCUGGAAUGAACAAAGCAUUCAUUGUUUGAGCUGGUUGUGAAUACUGAUAGCAACUGCCAACCAGUAAAAUGGGUGGAAAGCCAGAUUUCAAGCGGACUCUUGAGAAUCCAUCUUCAGUAAAUAGGCACUUGAAUCCAUUGAUCACAGGAUGUUCACUGUUAAAAGAUCAACAAGGAAGUCAGAUAAACCGGAAAAUUUCUUGCAAUCAGGCAAUGCACUGACAUAUGAAAAAUCUAUAUAACUUGCAGUUCAAGAUUUCCAAACGUUCAUUUCAUUCCUCUCUAUCACGGGCACUUCUACACAGAAAGAUGACCGAAGUCAUAAAGAAAAUUUAUUCAUCCAAGCACCUAAUGUUAAAUAUUAUGUCUGUUAGAGAUGUAAUACAAAAUCAUUCAUGCAUCUUCGCUUAAUUAGCUUAAGCUUUUGGGAUAGUAGGUCCAUAACAUGGUAUCAAUACUUCCAAACCAAGUGUUACAGAUUUCAGUCCAUGCUGCAACAUUCUUGCAAUAAAUAUUAAAUAAAUUUCAGCACAACGUUGGUGGGAUUGCACACUGUUUAUGAUUCAAGCCAAAAGAGAUGAUGCAAGAAAUGUAUUCUAGAUGUAAUAUAAAAUUAUUAACGUGCCUUUAAACUAUACAUAAGCUUCAAGAAAGUUGGUUCAUGGCAAUGACCAUUAUGAACACAACAUAUGGUGAUGAAGUCCUUGCCAACACACAUACUCUUCAAGGGGAUCUAAUGUAUCAAGUUCAUCAAUUUUAUUUCACACACUUGCUCACUUGACAAUACUAUCUUUUGGCAAUAUCUCUCAUCAUAAACAUAGCAUGUGCCAUACAAUUUAUGUUUGGUCAAGUACUAGUCUAGAAGUAAUAUACCAAUCUGUUAAUAUAACUCACUUUAUAAGAAAAGUAAAAUUUCUAUGGUGAAAUUCUUCCAAACUAAUUUGUUCUUCUUUAGAAUACCUGCACCAAAGAAUUCAAGAAAGUACAUUAGAGUCCGAAAAUAGUGGGAAGCAACAUGGUCUGGUCAUCACGAAUUGCAAGCAAUCAACAUAACAAUAAUAAAAAGUAUACUAAUAAUACCUUGUUAACACUUAAAUCUUUCCCAUUACUAUCAUAGAUCAUGUAAACAGCAUAUGCAAAAAACAAUCUGCAUAAUCAUCAUGAGUUAAUAAAUGUUAGGAGGAGUCCCCCUCUUAACAUUCAAAUCCAGAAUUGGACUUGCUACAGCAACAAAUAGUAUAGAAGGCUGUUAGGAACCCAGAAAAAGAAAAAACGAGACACAGAAAGAUAGAGAUAGGAUGCUGAGAAUUCCUCUGUUUAUUGAGAUUCACUGUUACAGGAAGUCAAACCUUCAAAGGGAACAACCUCCCUUUCUCACAGGACUAUUCCUGUUGACACAAUCUAAUCCUCUCCAAAAACUCCCCUUCCCAAAACCUGUUGGUCUUUAUUUAAAGACCAACCAUACCCCCACUAACCACUAACCGCUCCCUUAGCGGUUCCUAAUGUUUCUCCUAUGGUACACCUUUCCUGUCAUUUUCCUAUUCUUAUUUUCUGUCCUAACAUUACUCCCCUCUGAUACAGCAACCUUGUCCUCAAGGUUGAAUUCAGGAAAUUGUUCUUUGAUUGUUGUCAUGUCCUCCCACGUAGCGGUGUCCCUCUCUCCUUUAUUCCAUUUUAUCAAUAGUUGUGGAAUAUAUGCUCCUUGGGUGAACAAUCUUCGUCUAUCCAGUAUUUCCGUUGGAUGCCAUUCCUCUGUCGGACCUUGCAACUCCCUAGGGAGCUCGGGUUGAACUUCUUGUGUCCCUAUUGCUAACUUCAGUUGCGAUACAUGGAAGACCGGAUGGAUUCGAGCUGUUUCUGGCAGCUGUAGGCGAAAAGCCACCUUUCCUACGGCAGCCUCCACUUGAAACGGGCCGUAAUACUUGGCUGCCAGCUUUGGAUGUAAUCUGUUUGGCAUUGACAGUUGUCUAUGGGGCCUGAUUUUUAAGUAGACCAUAUCACCUACUUUAAUUGGGGAAGGUCUCCUAUGGCGGUUGGCGUAUUUAGACAUCAUAUCCUGCGCCCUUUCCAGGUGAAAUUUGAGUUGUGAGAGAGCCUCAUCCCGGUUCAUUAGAUCCUGUUCCACUGCCUCUACCAUCGUCUCUCCGGGAAUAAAGCGUGUCAAGGAUGGUGGGGGACAACCAUACACUACUUCAAACGGUGUACACUUGGUCGCUCCAUGAAAGCUGGUGUUAUACCAGUAUUCCGCCCACGGAAGUAACGUCGCCCAUACAUUAGGUUGUUCCGAACUAAAACAACGUAGGUAUGUUUCCAACGUUCGAUUCACCACUUCCGUUUGACCGUCUGUUUCGGGGUGAUAGGCCGUGCUCAUCUUCAACGUCGUCCCUUGCAACUUAAACAAUUAUUUCCAAAACAGGCUUAGAAACGUUGAAUCCCGAUCACUGACUAUGGAUGUGGGAAUGCCAUGUAAUCUCACUACCUCCUUAACAAAAACCUCCGCAAUAGAUCUCGCCGAAUAUGGGUGUUUAAGGGCGAUGAAAUGACCAUACUUGCUAAGGCGAUCCACUACCACCAGUAUUGCGUCCUUCUCGCAUGAUUUCGGAAGCCUGACGAUGAAAUCCAUACUUAUCUCCUCCCACACCGUUUUCGGAAUAGGUAGAGGUUGUAGCAAUCCUUGUGGUGAACACGCCUGAUAUUUGCUCUGCUGGCACACUGCACAGGCGUGGACGUAGUCCAUCACACUCUUCUUCAUGUUCAUCCAGUAUAGCGACUGACCUAUCCUUCUGUAGGUGCGGAAAACUCCUGAAUGUCCACCCAACGGAGUCGUAUGGUAUUCGUGUAGUAACUUGGGUAUCCAACUGGAAGACGCCGGCAGCACCAUUCUACCCUUGUAAUGAAGUCUCCCAUUUUCCAGGGUGUAAUUCCCAUGUGACUCCGGGUCGCUCUUCAAGUCCUCCAUGAUCUUCUUUAGGGUAGGAUCUUGCUCGUUUUCUUCUUCCACUAAUUCGAUGUCCCUCCAAUAAGGUUUGGACAAGAUAUUCAUCUCCUUAACUCUGUCUUCCUCUUCCUCCAGCCUUCGAGACAGCGCGUCUGCUACCCUAUUGGUCGCUCCCGGUUUGUACACAAUAUCAAAGUCGUACCCCAUCAACUUUGCUAACCAAUUUUGUUGGUUCUGGGUGGUUAUUCGUUGUUCCAAAAGGUAUCUCAGACUCUUUUGGUCAGUAUACACUGUGAACCGCCAACCUAUCAGAUACGGUCUCCAGUGUUGAAUAGCCAACACUAAGGCCAUUAACUCCUUUUCAUAUACAGAUUUGGUGAGUGAAGUCUCAGCUAAGGCCUUGCUGAAGAAAGCAAUAGGUUGUUUGUUCUGAGAUAACACUGCUCCAAGUCCUGUCCCCGACGCAUCACAUUCAAUACAUAAAUCUUGACUGAAAUCUGGCAUCUUCAGCACCGGAGCUGUGGUGACUGCUGCUUUCAACUUGUGUAACGCUUUCGUGCUUUCUGCUGUCCAGACAAAAGUUCCUUUCUUUAAUAGUUGUGUCAAAGGCCUAGCCAUUUUUCCAUAGUUAUAAACGAAUCUCCUAUAGUACCCCGUGAGACCCAAAAAACCCCUUAGGGCCUUCAAGGACUUAGGUAUUGGCCAUUGCAGUAUAGCCGAAAUCUUCUGGGGGUCCAUUUGAACCCCUUGACCAGAUAUGACGUGACCCAAAUAUUGUAUCUCCCGCUGGCCAAAAUCGCACUUCUUGUGGUUGGCAUAAAACUGGUGGUGCUGCAGGGUUUCUAAAACUUGCUUCAAAUGGUCCAGGUGUUCCUCCCAAGUUUUGCUGUAGACCAAAAUAUCAUCAAAGAAGACCAAAACAAACCUCCUUAAAUAAGCUUGUAGAAUGCUGUUCAUGGUGCACUGGAAGGUGGCAGGCGCGUUUGUCAACCCAAAAGGCAUUACCAGUGACUCAUAAUGUCCAUGGUGGGUGCGAAAAGCGGUCUUCUGUAUAUCCGAUUCAUGCAUGCGAAUUUGGUGAUAUCCUGCCCUGAGGUCCACUUUAGAAAAAAAUUGCGCCCCAUAUAGUUCGUCUAACAGUUCUUCAACCCGAUGUCAAUUUGAAAUAGUUAAGCAUUGCCUUGAUUGCAAACACACUAUCCACACAAAACCUCCAGCUGCCAUCCUUCUUCUUCACGAGGAUCACCGGACUAGAAUAGGGGCUGUUACUGGGUCUAAUUAUUCCACUCUUCAUCAUUUCCUCUACCUGUUUUUCUAUCUCUGUUUUCAGCACAUAGGGAUAUCUAUACGGUCUUACAUUGAUAGGAUCCGUUCCAGCUUUGAUCGGAAUCUUAUGGUCAAUUUCUCUGUUGGGUGGUAGCUGUUUGGGUUCUUCAAAAACCCCUUCAUACUCCUUCAGGACGUUCUCCAACUCUGCUGCUUGUGACCCUGUUAAUUCAGCAGAAUCCUGGAUAAUUCUGGAUUGGUCUAAGACUGAAACUUCAGCAUUUUCUAUUCCCCACACAAGGGAUACUGCUUCAAUUUCUUUCUCUUUUUUUAGAGCUUUUGGCGUCACCAACAUUCGAGCUAAUUUGGGCUCUCCUCGGAUGUGCACUUGCUUUCCUCCCCUGCAGAAACUCAUGGUCAAAGUCUUCCAAUUAAUUUUCACUUCCCCCCGAGUCGCCAACCAUGCCACUCCCAAAAUCAUGUCCACCCCUCCUAGCUCAAAUACGAAGAAUUUCUCCUUGAUUCCAUAAGUUCCCAGCUGUACUUCCACCUCUGGGCAACAUCCGCUUGCAGAUUUUUUGUAGCCAUCCCCUAGCCUCACCGUAUAAGUUGGUGUUGCUUCAACUUUUAAACCCAAUUGACUUACUAACUCUGUUGAAAUAAAGUUGUGACUGGCCCCACUGUCAAUUAGCACCAGUGCGGUUCUUCCCUCCACGGUGCCUUGUAAUUUCAUGGUGUGUGGUUGUGUUAAGCCCUCGGCCGAGAAAAUGGACAGGUCCAUUUCUGGGUUUCCCCUCUCUUCCUCCUCAUCAUGACCAUUCUCUUCACUCAAAUCCCCCUCCUCUUCCGCACAAAUGAUCACCCUCAGAUUUUUCUCUGGGCAGCGGUGGCCCGGGCUAUAUGCCCCGCCACAGUGGAAGCACCUGCCCUCUUCUCUCCUUCUAACGUACUCGGGGUACGGAAGCGUCCUCGACCCACGGUUCCUGGUGCUCUCCCCUGGCCGAGCCUCCCUGUUAGUCGUGAUCGUCUCCUUCCUGGCGUUACUAGCCAUGCUCGUUGCACUCGAUCCACCGCUUCCCCUCGUCACGUCGGCGCGACUCACUAUUCCCGAUCGACUGAAAGUGGUGGCGUUCCGAUAACCGCUAAUCCCCUUAAUUUCCUCGUUGAACGCUUCCUCUACAUCAAGAGAAAUCUCCAUUGCUUUCAUCACUUCCUUCGGAUCAUGGGGUCGGAUUUGAUUUCUAAUCCUAGGUUGUAGGCCCGCAAAGAAAUAGCCCAGCAACUGUUCUUCUCCGGUUUGUGGGGCUUGAGAUACCAAUCCUUCAAAUUCUUGGAUGUACUCCUCCACUCUCCCCUUCUGUUUGAGCUUGGCCAAUUUCUCGAAAACGGAGCUCCGUUCUUUUCCCCCCAAAUCUGCGAAUCAGAGCUAAAGAAAACUCCUCCCAAGAUUGGUUCUUGGAAUUCUUUCUCCAGAAAAUGAACCACGAACUAGCGCUGCCUUCCAGGCUGAUGAACGCUAACUUUAAUUUUUCCCGUGCUGAAAUAUUCUGUACCUCAAAGAACUUCUCGGCCCUAGCCAGCCAUCCAAUCGGGUCUACUCCCUCAAACAUCGGAAGUUCUAUUCUCCUCGACCAUGGUCUUCCUUCGCUUUCGUCCUCAUACUCCGAUUUGCUACUCUGUUUUACCCGCUCAUCCCUUCUUUCUUCCCCAUUUACUGAACUUUCUCCUCCGUCCGAUAAUCGGUCCCCCUUCUUGAGGUUCCGCAGCAUUUCCUUGAUGUCUAUGAUGUCGUCCUUCAACCCAUUGAUAUCAUUUCUUAAUUCCAUCAUCACUCUUCCUUGAUCGCUGGUCAACUUCUCCAAUGCACUCGUCCUCUGUUCCAUCCUCCACCUCUUCUUUCUCGCCCCCAAGCUUCCCUUCGGAUCUGGCAGGUCGGACCAAUUGUUAGGAACCCAGAAAAAGAAAAAACGAGACACACAAAGAUAGAGAUAGGAUGUUGAGAAUUCCUUUGUUUAUUGAGAUUCACUGUUACAGGAAUUCAAACCUUCAAAGGGAACAACCUCCCUUUCUCACAGGACUAUUCCUGUUGACACAAUCUAAUCCUCUCCAAAAACUCCCCUUCCCAAAACCUGUUGGUCUUUAUUUAAAGACCAACCAUACCCCCACUAACCACUAACCGCUCCCUUAGAGGUUCCUAAUGUUUCUCCUAUGGUACACCUUUCCUGUCAUUUUCCUAUUCUUAUUUUCUGUCCUAAGAAAGGCACUCACAAGUAAAUGUUUAAAAAUGUAAACCCUAGAAUCACAAUGAUGGCUCAUCAACUAGAGAUAAGGUGUUAACUAAUAAACUUGAAUAUGGUGAGCAUCAGGAAAAAUAGAUCAAGGUUCAUUGUGUUUUCAUUAGUCCAAUGAGAAAGACAUUCACUAAUCAUUCUCACUAUGCUCAGAAAAAGCCUGCAGUCAACCAAAUACCUACAUACUUCAGCAACAUUAUCAAGGCCUCCAUUACAUGCCUUCCCACAGGAAAUUACCUCUAUGUCAUACUCAAUUACAGUUUCAAGAUCCAGAAGCAGCUUGACCUUGGGUCCACAUGAGUAUCACUUGGAAGACAGUCAAGCAUACUAGUCUUAGUGAAGAUGUCCAGUGCAUAUUUUCUCAGGGAAAUGACAACGUCAUCAUCUAUGAUGAUGUUGUCAUCAACAUUCACACCAAAUAAAUGCAUAAUCAGGUGAACAAUGUAGGGAAAACAGAGUAAUUAGUCUUACAAUGACUCAUACCAAAUUGGAUUAAGGUAGAGUUAAAGCAUUCAAACCAGGCAUGGGGAGACUCUUUCAAGUCAUUCAGAGGGUGUCAAAGGUGGCAUACAAGGUGAGAUCCACCAGAGAUGAUGAAAGCUUGAUAUUGUUACAUGUAAACCUCUUCUAGCAACUCUCCAUGUAAGAAGAAGGCAUCCUUAAUGUCUAGUUGGUUAAGCAGCCAAUAACCGAUGACAACCAUUGCAAGAAUUAGACACACAAAAGUUAUUUGGCAACAGGGGAAAGAUGUCACCAUAGUUGUUUACAAAGAUCUAAGUAUAGCCGUUAGCCACGGAGCGAACUUUGUACCAAUCAAUAUUGCCAUCCAGUCCAACCAUCAGAAUAUACACCCAAUGACAACCAACAACAGGCUUCAUGAGAGGUAAGGGAACCAACUCCCAAGUAAUUGUGCAUUACGAGCACAUACAUGAUUCUCUAUUUAAAAGGAAAAGAACAACACAAUGAAAAGAAACAAGAAAUAUAAAAUGUAAUCCCUAAAUAAAAUUAAUGCUGUAUAAUAUUUCCUUACAUAAUUAUAUCUUUAACAGGAUCCAUGCAAUUAACUUGAUGCAUUAUUAGUACAGCGCAAAAAGAAUAGAAACAAAAUAUACCUCCAUGGCAAAUCACUUUCACAAAAGCGAGAUAUCCCAUUCAUGGCUGAAAAUGUAUCAAUGUGCACCAACUGUUCAUCUGUGUCAUUAUGAAAACCUGCAACAAUUAAAAAAAUUAACACAUACAUCAAAAGUAAUGACAAGGAGCCAUAUGAAAAGGAUCAUCCAUGUAGCAUUCAAUUUUUUCAUCCUUUGUUGAAAUUUCCUUUUUUUAAUUUAAAUGAGAAUAUUUUUCUGGCUUGGAAUUAUUCUAGGUCUCAAAGACUGCUCCUUUGACUCCUAUUAAGAUGAAAGGAAUUUGGAGCAAGAAAAUCAAUUGUACACAUCAAAACAAUCGUGUUACAUCAACCGAACACCAGAAAAAUAUGCUUAAAUGAUACAUUGAGUGUAGAAAUAAUAAUAGUUUCUUUCUAACACAACUCACCAAGCUAGAACAUUAGCUUAUUUGUGACAAAGGUAGUUUAAGAAGAUAUCAUGCAAUGACUUGUCAAGGGCCAGGGACCUCAAACAAUAUUUUGUGAAAAUAUCUGCUUGUUGAGCAUUUGGAUUGACAAAACAAGUUAUCAUGUCUGUAGAAUGGAUAUUUUCUUAUAGUGACAAUCUACAUCAUUGUGCUAAGUCAUCCCCCUAGAAAACAAGAUUGGAAACAAUAUGGAAUGCUUCUUUUGGUUAUCACAAUAAGUAUCACAAACACUGCCUUUGUAUUGUCCUUGAGAACCACUAUUGCAUCUUGGUCCAUGAAUAAAUUACCAAAAGCUCUGAACGCCAAAAGGGAAAGCUUAGGCAUAUUUAUUGUGACUAUAAUUGUUAAAUAUUUUGCUCAAACCCCUGACCAAAGAACCACACACAGUUUAUUCUAAAUAUCCUUUUGAGAAUUGGGAUAGAGAUUAUCAUUAUUUUUUUGGAAUACUAGUAAGAGAAUAAGUCUCAAUAAAGCACAUCAAAGUCACACAUCACUUAAUUUAAUCCAGAAAUGUCACAUAAGAGUGUACAUGCAGGAACUGUGUAUCAGACGACACAUACGAUCCUCUAUUUAUAAUUACUAGUAACUAUACAAUUGGGUAAAGAAAGAAAUAUCUAACAUAAUCCCCAAAUGUAACCUAUAUAUUUUUUCCAUAUUUACAUUAUCAUAUCUUUAUCAUCAUACAAAAUGAACCAUACCAUGAAAAUAACUUCUAGAAGAAUAAACUGUGACCAAAAUAUCAAGCUCAGUGACCCAUAUUAAAAAAAACGAUACUUAGUAAUCCUAUGAGAAUCCAACAGUCCAACAAUAUUAACAACUUUUAACAGAACUUGCCACUGUUAAUUGUGAAAAACAGAAACUACAACACACUAUUUUUACCAAAUGAAGGAUCAAACAAGAAGCAGUUUCUCUCUAGGAAAAUUCUAGCAAAAUACUUUGCAGCCAAGGCAUGGAUAUUUCAGGACUUAUGUACUCACCAAUUCCGUGCAAUUCUUUUAAGGCAUACCCACUAGGAUAGUUCCAGUAUGAUGCCAUGAAACUUGUGAUGGUGCCUGCAAGACUGCAAGAUAGAGAAUAAGUACAAAAAAAUUAUAUAUCCACUACCAAUGAAACAAAUGACUAUUGAACCAACCUCACUAAAAGUAAUGCCAACAAAAUGAGGAAAAGCAAGUUCCAAAUCAUCUUUUUCCUAUUGUUGUAACUGAAACAUUUGAGGAUGCAUAUUAAUGAAGAUUAGCAACUUAAAAGGGUAAGAAACCAAAAAACAGAUAUAACUACUAAAAAAGUGAAACAUCUGCAAUUUUCAUCUCUGUUUAUACUAUAUAGAAUGUAAAUACAGUUCAGUUCAAUCAUCACUUCAAAUAUACCCUGCAUUUCUCAUCCUGAUUACAACUCCUCCAUUCAUUCUUCAACCAAUCUCAUCAACAAGCUACACAGAUAAGCAAAGUCAUGGGAUUUACAAAUAUAUUGAACACAAACUGGAUCCAGACUAAAGUUAUGUAUUUUGCUUCUCUUUUGGCACUCAACUCAAAUUGCAGCAGCUUCAACAGUUUGUACCUUGCAUAGAAAAAUUGACCACCUGUGCUGCUUUCUUAGUUUUCUCUUUCCUAUUCUCCUUUGGUUCCAGAUUUCUAGUUUAGCUGGAUCAAUUGUCCUCGUAAUUAUUCUUUACUUGUUUUAUAUCUAGUUAACUUGUUUCUCUAUAAAAAUGGCUAGAUGACAAUGAACAUAAUAAUGUAUUCCAUACUAUUUGCAUCCCCAACUAGUAGGUUAAUGGUUUUUUUGUUGUCAUUGUAAAACUAUAAACAUAAAGACAAUCAUUGAGCUGAAACUGUGUUUCUAUGACAGCAUAAGUGGUUUAUUUAUAUCGAGAAAAAGAAAUCAAUACAGUGAAUAAAGGAGAUUUCAUAUCCUUUUAUAAUAAAGAUAAGAUCCUAGAAUAAUACAUCUUGAUAUUUCUGAUGGUCCUAAUAUCUGUAAUUAUUAUAAAGAUAUGAUUCUUAUUUCUUUAAUCAUAACAUUUUCCCUCAAGCUGGAACAUAUAAGUCAUAUGUCUUCAACUUGCUACAAAUGUGAUUGAUCCUUGUUCCUCGUAGAGAUAUAGUGAAUAUGUCAAUCAGAUAAUCACAAGAGUUGACAAAUCAAGAUUAAUUCAUUAGUGAAAUGCUGUCAAUUUUGUGCCAUUCUCACUCUUUACCUAAACUCUCUUAGGAAUAGGCUUUUAAUCUUCAAACCUUCACCUACAAAGGGAGUAGGCCGAACCACUCCUACUCUUCAUACUUCUCAUGCACCACCUCCAAGGCUAUCACAACUCCUAGGAGAGCUUUGUUCCACCAUCAAACCAUGGAGCUUCCGCAUUCCUCAACAAAAACCGCAAGAAAGGAGACACAAAUCCAUCAGAUAUGAUAUCUCCAAACUUCAGUUUUUUCCUUGUGAAAUGAUAAUCUACCUCAAUGUGUUUGAUUCUUUCAUGAAAGAUAGAAUUAAAGGCAAUGUGUAAUGGUGUCAAGUUGUCACAACACAACAUAUAAAAUUUUCUACAAAUUUAAGCUAUUUCAUUCAGAUGCUGCUUCAACCAUAUGAGCUUCCAGGUGCUAAAGUCAUUGUCCUGUAUUCUGCUUUUGCAUUUGAUCUUGCUACAAUAUUUUAUUUCUUACUUUUCCAAGAUAUUAAAUUACCUCCAACAAGAACACAAUUUCCUAAAGUAGAAUAUCUAUCAGCUUCAAAAUACCUAACAAUUUGAGUACUCCCCUUAUCUUUGUAAAUGAGGCAAUUUGCUAAGGACAUUCUUAAUAUAUAUUAGGGUUUGUACAACUACAUUUUGACAAGGAGAACUCAAAAAAUGACUUGCUUCGCUCACUGCAAAGGCAAUGUCAUGACGAGUCAAAAUGAGAUAAUUUAGCUUGCCAACUAACCCUUUAUAUAUCCUAGGAUAUAAGGCUCUCUUUGGCCUAGUACCAGUUUGACUCUUUGGAUCCAUUCGUGUGUCUAGUGGCUGUAUUUAACAUCAUUGUUUCUUCUAAAAUAUCCAAAGCAUAUUUCCUACGUAAUGGUGUCCAGUUGUCACAACAUAUAAGUUCUUGUAAUUAUCACAGUCAUGUUGAAUUUGAAACUAAAUUACAUGAGAAAAAUGAAAUUUCACACAUAAAUGACCUCAAACCACCUAUUGUUGUAAGUGCAAUCAAAAUGUCAAAUGCUUUGGGUUCAUUCAAUGAUGUUAAUUGUCUUGUUGCCUUCACUUGGCAACUAACAAAAUGAAUAAACAUAUAUAUUGUAUUGUUAGAACUUAUAUUACUGAAGCACUAUUUGUGAAGCAGAAACAUGGCUCAAAACAUACACUUCCCCAUGUUGGAACCAAAUUAGACAUGACACAAAAGUAGCAUGGAAGCGGUGUCGGACAUAGCCUAGUCAAUGACCAUGUCGAUGAUGACACAACCCAACCUCUUACACGGACACAACCCCUCAUUCCUUUGGUAAUACUCUUUCAAUCGUUUUUUGCUUCUACCAUGUAUCUUUUACUCUUGUUGAAGUUGUUUUGCUAAGAGAAGCAAUGUAAGCAAGACAAAUAAGGAGAACUUUCUUAUCAUCAUGGAGGUUGGACCACAAUCACGACUCUCAUGAAGAAGCUCUCUAAUGGCUACUGUGUCUUUGGAAGAUCCAUGGACAAUAUUGUUUUUGUCUCUCAAACCAAGCUUUGGGCUCUACGUUUCUCCUCUCAAUUUGAUGAUUACCAAAAGAUUUUUUACUCUAUUGAAGCUUCACUCAGUUCCUCAAUUUCAAUUCUAUAACUUCUGUACCUCAACAAGAGGAAAAGCAAUGAUGUUUGGCACUUGAGGCUCGAUUACUCAAGCAUCUUUGACAGAUUCAGGAACCUUGACAUUGUUGUGCCUCUCGAGGAGCUAGUUGAUGAUUCUAUAGAGAAAGAUAGCUUCCCUACACAAGAAGUUUGCUUUGUAAGUUUCUUUUUUCUUUCAUUUUUGUGUUAGGGUUUUAACUUUAUGUGACUCGGAAUAAUGAAUGUGCUUUCAUUUUGGUGUUUUACUUAGAAUCCCUAUUCAAUUCAGGAAUUUUCGUUCUUUGAACUAGCAUUCAAUUCCGAGUCUCUUUCCCUUUUGAACACUUUGUCACUUCAUGAACCAAAUUUAGGAGUUGUAAUUUUAAGUAAUGACCAACAAUUCAUAGUAUUUAUCUUUUUGUAAGGCUCUUUAUUAUGAUGAUUUUCGCUAGAUUUUUGUUGUGGACUAUGAUGGAAUAUGAUGCCUCUUACUAAUUUGUUUUUGAGACUUAAUAAGUUACUAUCAUAUCCUUUGUCAUUUUCAGAUUAUAUGUGUGUGUGGGUGUGCAUGUCCUAUCUCUCUGUCCUAUGUUUUUUUAUUUUGUUGUGUCCUUGUUUCCAUGUAGUGUCUGAAUUAAUGCUACAUAGAGCGUUAUACCAAGCCCAGUCCAGAAGAACCAAUACAUAUAGAGGAUGAGAAAGAAGCUUUGUAAAUUGAAAUAACUUGCUCCAAUGUAUUAUAGCAAAUGCUAGUUAUUCAAUUUUUCAAGCUACAAAGGAUAAUGAACCUCAACCCAAAUUUUACAUAAUUUAAGCAAGGAAUAUGCAUGAUUCUUGAUAAACCAUACAAUAACCUCAUACAACCACCCGUAAGGCAAAAUUCAAGUUUGUCUGAAAUAAAAGGGCAACUUCCACUCAAGUCCUCACAGUCAAGAAUUGCCAUUUGUGACCCAAGCUUAAUGCCUUGGUCUAAUGAGCCUCGCGACAGGCUGACGCAGCAUUAAAAAUGUUGAGAAUAUUGUUCAUAAUCCAAUAACAAAUGACAGAGAAUACAUGGUAAUGCCAUAGAAAUAAGGAAGGGAUAGCAAAUUCAUUCAUGUUUUAAAAUCCCAAUUACUUGUUUUCCCCUAAUAUCCAUUUUUGGUUGCACUUUAGUAUCCGUGAUCACACAGUGCAAUAAGUUUAGAAAAUAAAAAAUAGAACCCAAUUAAAUUUUAAAGACAUGUAUAAUACUCAUAAAGAGAACUUACAUUCUAUUAGAAGCAAUUGAAGCAGAGACAUUAAAUAUUGGAACUGAACUAAUGAUAAAACGAAGCUCCUGCAGUAUGCGUCAGAAUAAUAUUGAAUAUAUGUUUCAGUUUGAAGACAGACACACAAAUUAAGCAUCGGAUUUCACAUUAUAAAUAUAGUACCUUGUGAGGAAGCUUAGAAUAAAGCAAAAUAAAGGCAAGAACUGGAAAAGUGAAAGUUCGUACUCUUCUGUCUAGAAAAAGGCCAAACUGCAAACAAGAACAGCAUGUCAAGAAACUCAAAUUAGGAUGUAAGAGAGGCUUUCUUCUUUUUCUUUUCCCAAUUUUUUUCUUUUUACUUUUUCAGUUCGAGGAAGGUAGAAAAAGUGGUCUUUUCUAACAAUCAAGUGAUAUGAAUCAGUUCACCUCGUAAAAGAUCUUAUAUGAUAUUUGUAAAUAGGGAAACUUGUAAUUUUUCAGAUUUUAUUCAUGUAUUCCUUAUUUUCCUUUAAUUACAAAUAAAGAUUAAAUAUGUGUAGCAAUCAUACAAUUCUUGUAAUCCUUUUUUACACACCUAAAGCACUCUUCUAAGGCUAUCUCUGAUUGGGUUUCAAAUAUUCUCUAAACUAAAGAAAAUAAAAUCUAAAUAUUGUUCCAAAUAACAUAAGAAACUCAAAAGAUAUUAUAACCCAAUGAUAAUUAAAAUCCAAGUUAAAUAUAAAAUCCUGGCUAAAUACUAAGGAAAUAUUAAUUUCCUAAAAUGUUAAAUCCUAAUCUAACUAAAUUAAAUAGGAAAGCUAUGAACUCAAGAAAAAAAAAUGAGAAAGAGAACAAUCUUAAAUAAAUAGAUAAAUAAAUGUUAAAACAAAAACUCAAUUAAAAAAAUCUGAUGUAUCCCACAAGUAUUAACAUUUGAAACACAAAUUAAUUAGUUGCUCAACGUGAGAUAGGUUUAUGUACAAGACAAGUAUAUAAACUAUGAAAAAGGAAGUCCAAAAUAAUUAAAAAUGACACAAUUAUAAAUCCAUCCUUUAUCGCCAAGUAUGGCCCAACACAUUUGUCUAGAAAAAGUCUGAUCUUCAGUGCAUUUACAAUGACUAUCCACAAUCCAAAUAUCCUGUUAUUAAACUAGGUUUUAAAGAAGAUACAUGGUUAAGUAUAUGCAUUUUAGAUAUUUGAACUGACUCAAAACAAAUAGGGAACAAUGCAAACAGGUAAAAGACAUUCUCUAUUAAUUGAUAGCUCAAGCAUAAAUCAUUGGAAAAAAAUUAAUUUUAAGUGGUAGCUCAAAGUAGACAGCAAAAUUUGGGUGCUACCUUUAGACAGAUUUGAUUUUAAGGAGAAAACCCAAAUUAUUUCAUACUUAAGUUACAAAUUAUUAACAUAUCAAUGAAAGUAGAAGAAACUAUGUCAAGCUAGAAAUCUACAUAAGGAACUAUUCAAUCAUUAGAAGAUAUUGGACAAUCCAAGACUUACCAGUGAAAGUGGAUAUGCAGCAAGUAGUGAACGAGGAAGUGCUGAAGUGAAGUACCAGUGGAAAGCAUUUGUCUAACAAUAACCUUGUCAAGGAACGUAGUAAUAUAUGAAAUACAAAUAGGACAGUGUUAUCAAAAGCAACAAGCAAUAUGCAGAUUUUAUAUGAUGAUGAACUCAUUAUGCCUUGUCCCCAGGAAAAACAGAUAAAAUUCACAAAGAUCAAUGAAGAUUAGAAGAAGUAUUAGCCACUGAACAUCCAACCAUCCAAACCCUAAUCCCAAUACACCAAAAUCCUUGUUGUUGCAGAAAUUUACUAAUUCCUCCAUCUCAUAUUACUUGUGUUUUAAGAGAAUACACAUUUCUUAAGAAAAUUAAUAAAGACAAAUUACUAUGAUAAAAGAAAAAAACUUUUUGUUCAGAACCUAAUCUUAUUUAACAAGUAAGAAUGUAUUUGUGAAUUCAUUCAAGUAUUUAGGAAGAUACCCAUAAAUGAAGUUAUUGAUGAAAAAAAGUAAUUAAUGCUCUCUUGAUUCCUGAAGUGACAAAUAUUUUGAAACAAAGUACAAUACCCAAAGAGACAUGCACUAUGAGACAAAGGGAAGUACAUAUCUGUUCGAAAAAUCCUUAUUGGGUCACAGAUGGCUUUCAGGUACUCACUUCAAAACAAAGAUCUUAGUAUUCCCAGGAUUUCCAAAAGAAGUAGUAAAUCAUUACCUCCCAAUAGAACUCCCAAAACAGUGAAAUUUCACAACAUCCAGACACAAUUAUAGCUAUCCACAUUUAAACAAGUCAAACCACUUAGAAGAAGUAACCAUCAAAUCAAAUAUGUCUUCCAAAAAUAUAAUAUAAAAAACAUUCACAAAGCUAUCAUUAUCCUCUAAAGAGAGAAUUGUAUGAUUGUAUCAUCAGCAAACUUAAAAUAAAGACCAUAAACUCUUGUAAACAAUAAGCCACCUCUAAUAUCCUUAAUGAUAUUCCUAUCCGCAGACAGCAUCUGAACGAACUCAAUUCAUAACAUCAACCUCUAAAGUAAACAACAAAGGUGACAAAAGAUCCCCCCUCCUAACUCCCUACUAAACCAGGACUUAACCUCAUCAUUCAGCCACAAAAAAAGGGUAGCAAAAAAGGCCUGCUUGGUAAAAAAUAUUUUAUGCAAGAAAUAGUGAAAAUGGAUUUUUGUUCUCAACUUUCCUGUAGAAACAAACCCUUCCAAAAAUAAAAGAAAGUGAAAAAACAAGGUGUCCUUUUUGUAAUUAUUCCCAAAAACAAAAAAUGGUUUUUCAAACCAAUCAGAACCAGAAGAAAAAUAAAAAUACCCUGAUCAUGAAAUUUGUAUAACAUAUUUUCCAUAUUCUACAGCCAUAUAACAUAUCACUUGGUGAAGGAUACUCCCCAUUCAGAGCUUUUGUUUAGUACAGAGUUAAACCAAAAGACUUCAAAUUCAGGCCACAAUAAUCGUUUCCACAUAAUUGAAUCAACUAUUAUGGUUAGACCUGUAUUCAGAAGACCAUAAUGUUAGAAUCAAAUUUAAACAGCACAGUCUCCUAUCAUGCAUAAUUUUUUUUAUUUAAGUUACAGAUUAAAUUUAAAAUAAAAAAAAUGUACAUCACCAACCUAUGCAGAAGAGGGCCAUCCCAGUGCAGUGUUUCAGAGCACCCCAUACUGAAAUUUUGUUUGUCUUCCCUUCAAGAGAUGAAUUUUAUUAGGCACAAAGCAUGAUCAUGUUACCAUGUCAAAAAUAAAUUUCCAAUUUUAUAAUAACUCAACCAAAAUAGCAAGGUCCGAAAAAGGAUAGAAAAAAUUCAUCAAACAGCAUAAUUAACUUCAAAUGCCAAAUAUAAUAAACACUGUUCUCAAAACAUUGAUAAACCAGGCAUGGUUAAGCAAUGAAGUUCCACAUUUAAAUGUUAAAUGAACAUUAAAUAAUGUCUUGCGGACUGGACUGAGAAGAACCUAAAUCAACUCUACAAAAAAGGCUUAUAAGGUUAGAACUGUACAAGCUUUAUAAACUCUGUUUAAGUAAUAUCUAGUCAAUGUGGGAGUAAGUACAUCCCAAGGCUGCAACUAAGGCAGCCCAAAGAGGCCACAAAUAAGGCAGGCCGGGAGUGACUACAAUUAAGGCAUUUUCCAACAUAGGAAUUUUAUGGUGACCCAAGUGAACAUUUCAAACACCUUGUUGAUUAUUUUAUAACCUCUAAGACAGAGACAAAGCAACAGAAUUUCUCACAAAUUGGAAGCCUUAAAAUUGAAAUACUCAAUAAAAUAAAAGUCCAAAGCAGAUUUAAUUUAAAUUAUGCUGAGAAAUGUUGACAUCAAUAUUAGAGCUGUUGCCAUGACAGCUCACAGAUUAUGUUCCCUACUAAUAGUAAUUUAGGAAUCUGUUUCCCAUUAUUUGCUCUAUUUCAUAACCCAUUAUUCAAUAUUUCCUAACUAUUAGUUUUUAUAUCCGUUCCCAUCUAACUAAUUAUCAGGUCCAUAAAUUUAGAGAGUAAUUUUACAAAAUAUAUUAUGUAUAUAUUCGUAAAAAAGUGAAAUAAAAAUAUAAAUCAAUAGAAUUUGUUCUCUAUAUUUACAGGAAAUGUGAUCUUUAUUAUAAGUAACGGGAAGCAUCAUAACUCAUUGGAUAUCCUUCAAACCAAACAAAUUAAAGAAUUGACUGAUAUCUUACAUGGAUGUUAAGCACAAUGGAAACCUGACAAUAUCUAUAUCAGUAGCUCAAGCAUUUAAGGAGAAAAAAGAAAAGCAGGUUACAGAAAAGCACAACAUACCAAAAGAAGUUGCAGCCCAAUGGAACAAAGAAGCAACAGCAUGUCACAUCUGAAUACAGUUGUAGCAAAGAUCUGAUGAUCCGAAAGUACAAAGAGAUUAUUUUGAGAAAAGGCAAAGUAUAUCAAGCAUACUAUGAUAUUUAGAAUUAAAAGGGGCCACUAACUCCAGAAACUAUUCUAGGUAUCAAUAAUCAAUGGUAAAAGGAUUACAGUCCCUCCUGUCUCACUGUGUGUAAGUGCAUACAUGAAAAAAUAAUAUAUUAAACUAGUACAACUAUGAAAAAAAAUAUUACCAUUUUCAUAAAAUGAUUUAAUUUCAAAAUCAUUGGAAACAAAAUGAUGCUAAAUAAUAGUAACAUAACAUAUUAUAAAAGCUUGAUCACUUGAAUCAAAGAAUGUUUCCAGAAUUGAUAUGCACUUUAUAAAAAUUCCCACAUCUAGUUCUAGUUAAAAUAUAUAAACAUACAUAUAUUAUAUAUAUAUAUAUAUAUAUAUAUAUAUAUAUAUUUCAGGAAGGUUAUAAUCCCUGAUAAUUCUCAUGUUUCAGCUAAAUACAUUCAGAGUGAAGGAAGGAGGUGGGUUUUGUUUCGUUAUCAAAAUGGAAUGUAAGAGACAUCACAUCAUUGAUCAUCCAUUAUCACUUACUCCUCCACCCUAACCACACACCACUGCCACUACUGUCUUUGCACCGCAACUUAAACUACUCUAACAGCCCUCUUAAGGAACUCGUGAAGUUUUCUCUCAAAGUUGAUUAGGGGCAAGAAUAGCAUUCAUAGAAAUAUUCUCACAAGAUAAUUUUGCCCUUGCAUGCUUUCAGAAACAUGUAAGUCCCAUGUACAGUCCACUUUCGUCACCCCUAAAAAUAUUAUAAAAUGUUGAUAAAUUGUAUGCUUCCCUCUAUUCUGGUCAAAAUGGACCAAGAGCAUCUCAUUCUCACCUUAACUAUUCUUCACUCCUUUCUUUUUUAAUUUCCCACACAAAAAAAAUAUAAUCAAGGGCACUGAAUUUGUCUCUUCUAAGCAGAAAAUGACAAACACACAUGUCCAUGGAAUUCCCAUGUGUUAUUACAUGGGCAACACAUUCACAUACACAUACAAACGAGAAAUGAGAAAUUUCGUCAAACUAAUAGAAUUGGUUCAGAAUCAAUAUUAAGUAAAGAUCUCUGAAAAAUAAAGAAAUAAUAUCCAUGUAACUGGUCCCAACUAAUGGAAAAAAAAAAAACUUUUUUUGCAAACUUGAUAACAUGAAAAAUUAAAAUUUUCUCUUUAAAAAUAGAAAUCUUACAUGAAGCCUGGUUCAAAAAACUGAUUCCAACAUCUAGCAUGGCAAAAGAUGUAUAUGAUAAAAACUGGAAAAUAAAAAUACAGAAGAGUUCGUGAUAUUCAACAGAGGAAUGCUGUAUUGAGAUGAACCUUAAGCAACAAUAUACAUACCAGAGAGUUUAGAGCUGCAUAAAAACGUCCCUCAAACCAGUAUCCAUAUGCCAAAUUCACUGCAAAAAUAAAUCCAGAGAAAAUCCAGCACCAUGACAUUGACUAGAAAGCAAGAAAAAUUAUUUAAAAGAAUUCUAGAUGUAAGUAAGACAGAAAACUAGAAUAGGGUAUAGAAUAUAAAACUCAAUGAAUUAAUGCAACAAAAAGUUGUAUUUAAUAAUUUAUAGAAUUUUCUCAGUGUCCUUCUAAUUUAUUUCCCUAUCAACAUGUUAUAAAAAUUUCUUGCUAACUUAUCAAAAAUCAAUCUAAUCUUUUAAAAAUACACAUCCACAUGUUGCAUAUUUGAAAAGAAAAGAAAAAAAAUCUCAUUAGGGUCAUUUGUGUCUGUUAUUAAAUUAACGUGAUGUCAAAGAGUAAUCAAAGUGUACUCCUGUAUUAGCACUCUGUUAGUCCUUGGUUCUGCCAUCUUUCUGUUUGUAUUAAGGAAGGAUUAGUUUUUAUAAUGAUUCAGUUACAUUAAUCACUAUCAUGUAACCAACUGCUGAGUCAACAACUGGAUAAUCCCUGGGCAAAAUUUAUCAGAAUUUACAGUUUCUAAUUCUGGCUUUCUCAAGUCAGAAUCUAUCCUCUCUCUACUCUCCACUAGAAUCAUAACAAUGUUGUGUACUUCAACUUUAUUCCAUUCCAUAUUGUAUUUGUAUAUAUCAUUUUUUCUUUGAAACAUACAAAUUCUCUGUAGAACCAUUAUGCCUUUAUCUACAAUCAGAUAGCGACCAAGGCAAUGAUUUCCUUCCUUUCUGAGCUAAAGGUCCCCAUAUAUAAAUCCAGCAUUCUGGGUCUGCCCCCUGGUGUUAUCUAGUUUCACACUGCCUUUCAUCAUUAAAAACAAGAGAAACACUAUCAAGAAUAUAAAGAAGCAAGACAAGCUAAGUAGUUACCUAGGCCCAGUGCAAGAAUGUUAGGAAGCGGACGGGUACAAUAGAACAGAAAAUGAAACUGUAUGGCAGUUAAUAUUACAAAGAAGGCCUCUACUUGAUGCCCAAAUUUAUUCCUUAUCUGCAUAUCAAGAUUAUUAUUAGAAUAUCUUCUUUAUUGGUCAUGAACAGAUAUCAAUAGAAAAAAAGAGACAAAGGUACAUACCUGGUGUCGGAAGAAUCUUAGUGUAUAUAGUAUGAUGCACCCUAGAGCCAUUCGAACUAGAUAUCAACAAAAAGAUAUAUUAAUGUACUUCCCACCACGUUCUCAAGAAACAGAGAAUGCGAGAAUGAAAAUUGAAGGCAUUUUGAGAUAUUUUAGCAUUUUGAGAUCACCAAUGAUAAUAGACUCAGCUAUGAAUUCCAAAUUACUUUAUUUGAUAUGUCAAUUCAAUUAUGCACAUACAACACACACAUUGGUCUCUAAUAAAUGCCCACAGACUAACACAAUUAUGUAGUGAAACAAGAAUUUGAUCAGAACUAUUUUUCAAGCAUUUUUUUCCAGCUAAAGAUAGCGUUUUAUACUUCAAACUUCUUGUAGUGUGUUUUUUUUCUCAUCCACACAAUUUCCAGUAAUCCAAACAGAAAACUAAUAACUUGCUUCUUAAUGCACUACCCAGUAGGAAACACACCACGCUUUAUCAUUAGUACUAGUCUAUCUCAAUUUAAACCAAAAGGAAGGCAAAAUCCAGAGAUAAAGAAAAAGAUAAACAGCAUUGAAAACUAUGAUGAGCAAAAAUCAUAAUGCACUGAUUGUCAAGUAUGAGAGAAGGAUACCAAUGACAAGAGCAUAAAACUUUGGCAAAUGCAGCAAACUUGCAGUCAACACAAAAGGAGCUGCAAUGAUUGACACAAGCAAAGCACCUAAAACAAAAUAACAAUGACAACAGCACUAUCAGAUAACAUCUAAUAAUAAAAUAAAAAGAAAGCUACGCUGGCAGGCACCAAUUUAUACUAACAAAGCAUGGCCAUUUGACAAUCCAACUAAACAUCAGAACGGUUAAAUUUCCACAGCUAAAACUAAACAAACUUGAAUCACGUUAACAACUCAUACAUAACACAUGGUACUCACAAUCUCAGAUUAUUAAAUGGAACCAUUCACAUUAGGCACACAACCAAUGCAACUUUAUAAACAAGUCCUUAAUCCUCAUUUAUUUAAUUCUACAUAAAAAAUUAUUAUCUUCCAUAAUAAACCACAAAUACCUGCCUAAAUACCUGCCUAGUGUUAAGGGUCUUUUCCGACAAGAUUCUCCAUAAACUAAAAUUAACUUAUGUAUGCAUAAGCAAAUUUGUAUAAAAAAUAAAAAUAAAAAAUAAAAUAAGUUUUUCCAUAAGCUAAAAUCAGUUUACGUGUAAGCUAAUUUAUAGAAGUUCACUGAAAUAGUUUCUCUAAAUUAUUAUUUUUAACAUGGACAUGAGCUAAACUUAGCCUAUGCUCAUUUCAUAUUUUCUCUCUUACAAGUGUUAGUGAAAAAGUUUGUACAAACAGAGCCUAAAUGCGAAAGCAUAACAAAAAAAAUCUUUAUGACCAAACAAAUAAUACACAUAUUUUGAAAGAAAUUGCCAGAAAAUACAAAAAAAAAUACCUAAGAAAGUGCGAGGAACCACCCCAGGGAAUUCCAGAUGAUCAUACUAUUAACAGAAACGUUAAAACAUCAUCAAUUGAGUCCAAUAACAUAUCAAUUAAUCAAUUAAUAAAGUUUAUAAAGUUAACAACAGCACAAAGUAAACUCACAUUCUCUAGGUUAGUCCAGUGAUAGAGAAUAUCGUGCAUUGCCUUUAAGAAACAAAGAUAAAUAAUAAAUAAAUAAAAAUAAGCAAACAAAUUGAGGAAGAAGAAGAUGAAAAGAGAGAGAGAGACCUGAACAUUGAAGCUCUCUUCGACCUUAGUGUAAGGAAUGGUGAGAACGUAUAAAGCAGCGAUUGACGCCAACAGCAAAUCGUAACCAUAUCGCUGCAGAAAAGUCUCCGAUUUCGAAUUGGAAGCCAUUGUUGUUCGGUUUGUUGCAGAGUGAAUGCAGAAUAGACUAGACAAACAUGAAAUGAGCUUGUGGGCCUUUCUGAAGAAUUGGGCUUUCAUUUCUCACACUUAACCUCGGCUUUUGCUUCCUGCACCUCCAUAAUUUCUUGGCGCACCCCAUAAUUUUUAAAAUGAUAUUUUACCCUUCUUUAAAGUCACUUUCAAAUUACCCAUUUCAAAAAAUUUCCAGCUUUUUACAAUUUUCAGAAUGUGAUUUUCAAAACAGGAUUUUCAGAAUAAGAUUUCCAUAAUUUCUGAAUAUAUUCCAAAACAAGUUUUUAAGAACUUAUAUAAUAUACUUUAGAAUGCAUUUUCUAAAAUGAGUUUCCAAAACGAGUUUUUUUACAAUGAGUUCUCUCUUUCUUCUUCUUUAAUGAUUUAAAAUAAACACUUUGUAUCGCGUUUUUUUAGCGAUGCACUUAAUACUAAUAGGGUACAAGAAGCAAAAGUUUAACUUUUGUUCUCGAACGGGGUUGGAACUCAGAGAACUAUUGAGACUCCUUCUUGGUCGGUCGAUCGGCGUGCACUUCAGUUACUCUCCCCACAAGCUCCUUCCUCUUCUCUGCUCGCUCCGUUCCUUGACCUUCUCAUAAUUCAGACUCACUCGGAUCGUACCUGCACUCUAACGCUCAAGUCAGUAAAGGUAUUCGAUACUCGGUUGUCAGAGCACUGUACCUGAUGAUGAUCCCCUGAUUCUUGCAAUGUGUGUUAUUUAUAUUACCUUAGUGUGUCUUCCUUAUUGGUUCAGAUUACGGAGUUGGACCGUGAUUAGGGUUACAUUACCUAGCUCUUAAUCAUGGAUUAGCUUCGCUGAUAUUGUUUGAGCGUAAUUGGACUUAUGUUGUCGGUCGACCUUAUAGACGUGGGUCGUUAGGUCUCGGUCGGCCCAGUGAUGGGACCCGAGACAUGACAUCGGUCGUACGACCUUACCAAUACAGUGGGCCUUCCUUAUUGGGCCAGAUUAGGGAGUUGGAUCGUGAUUAGGAUUCCAUUACCUAGCUCUUAAUCGUGGAUUAACUUCAUUGACUCUGCUUAAGCGUAAUUGUCGAUCAGCCCAUUACGUGGGUCAUGACAUUGUCGGCCCAUUACGUGGGUCAUGACAUCGUCGACCCGUUGAUGUGGGUCAUGACAUCGGUAGGUCCAGUAAUGGGGACCGAGACAUGUCAUUAGUCGUACGACCCUUACCGGUACACUUGCCCUCCAGGCUCGAUGAUGAUUAAUCCGAAGAGUCUUUGAGAGUAAUGUGACGGUCGGGCUCCGGAGAUUUGACGCGGAGAUCUAGUUUUUAGUUUUGUUUCCUUUGACCGAGAUGUGACCCUUUCUUUUUAUCCUGAGGUCGGGGUGUGGCCUCCACCGGCCGAGAUAAACGAUAAGUUUUUAUGCAUUUACUUGGACCAAGUUUUUAGGGUGUCGGUAGGGUAUGCUAGUUAAGGCUACUUCCUUGACCGAACCAAGUCUUCAUGGUGUCGGUAGGGUAUGCCGGUUAAGGCUUCGUCCUUGACCGAACCAAGUUGUUGUGGUAUCGGCAGGAUAUAUCUGUUAAGGCUUCAUCCAAACCGAACCAAGUUGUUGUGGUAUCGGCAAGGUAUGCCUAUUAAGGCUUCAUCCAGACCGAACCAAGUUGAUGUGGUAUCGGUAGGGUAUGUCUGUGAAGGCUUCAUCCAGACUGAACCAAGUCUUUAAGGUGUCGAUCGGCAAGAUUCAUCAUCCAUCUCUAGUGUGAAUGUCAGUCGGCCCAUUGAUGGGACCAUGAUGUCGGUCGGCCCGUUGAUGGGGAUCGUGACAUGUAUGGCAUGUCGGUAGGCAAGAUUCAUCAUCCAUCUCCAGUGUGAAUGACAGUUGGCCCAUUGAGGGGAUCAUGAUGUCGGUCGACCCAUUGAUGGGGACCGUGACAUGUACGACUUGUCGAUCGGCAAGAUUCAUCAUCCAUCUCCAGUGUGAAUGUCAGUCGGGCCAUUAAUGGGACCAUGAUGUCGGUCGGUCGUUGAUGGGGAUCGUGACAUGUACAACUUGUCGAUCGACAAGAUUCAUCAUCCAUCUCCAGUGUGAAUGCCAGUCGGGCCAUUGAUGGGACCAUGAUGUCGGUCAGCCCGUUGAUGGGGAUCGUGACAUGUAUGACUUGUCGGUCGGCAAGAUUCAUCAUUCAUCUCUAGUGUGAAUGCCAGUCGACCAAUUGAUGGGACCAUGAUGUCGGUCGUCCCGUUGAUGGUAACUGUGACAUGUAUGACAUGUCGAUCAGCAAGAUUCAUCAUCAAUCUUAAGUGUGAAUGCCAGUCAACCCAUUGAUGGGACCAUGAUGUCGGUCGGCCCGUUGAUGGGGACCGUGACAUGUAUGACUUGUCGAUCGACAAGAUUCAUCAUGAUGUCGGUCGCCGAGCACGACUCGACCCUGAAGAAAUCACGACUGGCGUUCGCCAUCAGAAUCGAAAACUUGUCCAAAAAUUCAGCGAUAAAGGUCUCGAUCGUAAAGGUGGAGGUGAUCCUAGUUACCCUAAGGUCCACCCAGUCAAUCUUUGGUGGGGAGACGACCUGCUUGAGGGAGUUCGAUCGGUCAAUAGCACCGCCCGGGUUGUCCCCCCUAACCACCUCCACAGGGGGCAACACUUGGAUUGCGACGACCGAUCUAAGCUCGGUUGUGGAGGAUUCGGAGGCAGAAGAGGAAGUGGACGAACGAAGACGAAGACGAGGGACGCGCAAGACAAGGGGGAUGAAGGGGACGAGAACCCGAAGAAGAAGAGGAGGUAGGUCAAUACAAAGAAGACAUGACUAACCUUACGAAAGCCGGAACACAGCAACUUAGGAUGAUGAUAACCGUUCAGGUCUCAGAGCAAAUGUUUGAGUAAUAGCGCAGUUUCUCGACACUGUUGGGACCACUAUUUAUAACCCCAAAGGUCUCGGGAGGCGAAACUUCACAACCAUCUCAACUAUUAGAUUUUUUCAAUCCAACGAUUUUUUCAGCUCCUGCACAGAAAAACCCCUCAUCAAUGCAGGUCAUGUCAAUCGCCGCCUGCCAUCACGUCAAACAUCGAGAACCCCAACCGUUACACCAAACCCAGAAUCUCGACCGACAUAUCACUCUCAUAAGACUCUUCGGAUUAACCAUCCUCAAGCCUGGGGGGCAAGUGUACUGGUGAGGGUCGUACGAAAGAUAUCACGUCUCGGUCCCCAACAUCAGGCCGAUUGAAUGUAGUCGCGACACAUGUCCGUUGGACCAACCGAUAGCUCAAGUCCAAUUAUGCUCAAUCAAGGUCAGCAAAGUUAAUCUGUGAUUAUGAUCUAGGUAAUUCAACCCUAAACACGAUCCAACACUUAACCUGGCCCAAUAAGGAAAGCUCAUCACAGGUAAUAUAAAUAGCGCAUACUUCAAGAAACAAGUAUGUCAUUAUCUACAGUACUCUGAGAACCGAGUGUCAAACCCUUUUGCUGACUUAAGCGUCAGGGUGUCUUCUGCAAGUACCCCCCCCCCCAAUUCGGUGCUUACAAGAAGACCGAGAACCGAGGCUACGAAGGAAAGGUGAGGAACGAGCAAAGGAGGUUGAAGAGCAGUACGACGACCGACCAACAGGAAGGAAGAAGGUAAAUCCUCUCAAUAGUUCUUCAGGCCCCAACCCUCACACGAGAACAAUUUUUUUUCAUAUGUCCAUCAACUUAAUGUUUCAAAUUUACCUUAUGUUGUUCAAUUUAAAAUAAGAAAACAAUAUGUAUUUAAUUAUAAACUUUAUGACACCUUAAAAUAUAAUUAAUGAAAAUGUAAUUGCCAAUAAAUAUUCUCACUAUUUUUACUCUACUUGUUUUACUAAUAAUUUGUCUCUAGUUCUUAAAAUUAUUCUCAAUUCUAUAAUAUCAUAAUUUAAAUUGAUGUUUUCUAUAUAUUGUAUUUAAAUUGUUUUAUUGUUUUCAAUUUACUAUUCCCUACAAAGGUCCAGUAUAAAUAUUUUAUUGUUUUCAUUUCUUUUAUUUCCAAAACUAUUUUAAAAAUUAAGUUAAAUGAUAAUUUUUUAUAAAUAUACAAUUGAAAAUUUAUUUUAAAAAAUUGAUAAAUUUAAAUUUUUUAUAUAUUUAUUAUUCAAGAAAAAUAUAUUAAUAGUGAUAGAAGUUGAUUUUAAUCCUUUAAAUGAUUAUUGAUUUAUUGUUCACCAUUGUAUAUGUGAGUGUGGUGGCUAAGAGAAGUUAUUGAAGAUAAAAAUGUGUGUAGAAUAAUCACUCUAAUACUGCACUAAGUGUAAAGAAAGUGAAAGAAUCAUCAAUAUGCAACAUUAUUAAAUUAAGCAAUUUUGUCCAAGAUUUUUACAUAUUUUUAAUUGAAAGUUACUUGAUAAUUGGAGACUCAAAAUAUUGAUAACUUUUUGCUUUCAAAGUAUGAUACAAAUAGUGAUAGUUGGUUUUUUUAACUUAUAACUAAUAUAAACUAGUCUUCAAACAACAACAAAAACUUGAUAAUACAAGCAAGUUUUCUCAUAUAUCAAUGUGUCAAUUACUCAACAACAUCUACAAGGCUCUAUACAAAUAGAAACUCCUAGAACAACAUGUAUUUCCUUUCAUUCAUUGGUGAUUUGACUAGGAAUAUAUGGAUAUAUUUUAUUAAAAGGAGUCAUAAAGUUCUCAAAGUUUUAAAGAAAUUCAAGAGAUUAGUUGAAAAGAAAAGUGGUAAGAUGAUUAAGAUCCUAAGAAUAUAUGGUUUGUGAAUUCAUAAAAUUAUAUGAAAGUGGGGUAUUAAUUCAUGAAGUUACGCAUUCUUAGACACACCCUAAGACUAUGGUGCAACCGAGAGAAUUAACAUAACUAUGUUAAACAUGGUGAGAUGCAUGCUAAAAAGCAAAAGCCUUCUAAGCUUCAUAUAGGGAGAGGCAGGUUAACUCUUGUAAUCAAAUUGAAUAGAUCUCCCACUAAAAGAUUGGAAGAUAUCACACCAAAAGAAGCAUAGAUUGUAGCCAAACCAAAUUUUAAUAAGAAUAUUUGGUUCAAUAUGAUAGAAACAUGUCUGUAAUCAACUAAGGGGGAGCUUGAUAAUAGAUGCACAACACAUAUUAUGAUUGGUUAUCAUUCAACUAGAGGUUACUAGAUGUAUGAACUAGAAAAUGGUAUAAUUAUUUAUUAUUAAAGAUGUUGUAUGUGAUGAGAACGGAAGCUAGGAUUGGAAUUCAAUCUUCGAUGAAGCUCAACUAGACCUACUACCGGCAGGUCGGCCCAUAAACCCACUAACAUUUAGGCAGGACGGGCAAGUCCGCUAGCUCACCCAUAUUUAUUUUUUAUACUUUUAAAUAGGAAUGUCAUGCUUUUGAAAUCAAAAUUGGUGAUGAUCAACAUUUUAUAUAAAAUUUUAUUUACAUUAAUUUUUUUAUACAUAAAUUUAUUCAUUGAAGUAUUCUUGAUAUUUAUUUUAUUUUGUCAUAUAUUAAACCUUCUUUGAUUAGAAUAUUAAAGUUUGAUUCAAUUUUAUUACUCUUUCUAGCAUUUUUAUUGUCUAAAUAGUGAUAUCAAUGGCUACAACUAAAUAAAUAGAUCCAAACAAAAAAAUUACAAAAACUUUAAAAAGUGGCAGGCUUGCCAACCCACCCCAUGACAGGACAAGUUACUAAUUUUAGCCUGUAUAGUCUUGGCGGGUCAGUCUAGUCCACCCCUCUUUUGGCGGACCAAUGGCAGGUCAGACCAAAACGAGUCGAGCUGACCUAUUUUACCACCCUUACAUUUGAGUGAUUAAAUAGUCAACUCAAAAGAAUAAUUGGUUCAUUUUGCACUUAUGGCAAAAGCUAAACUUGUUAAGUUAGACAAGCCAAUGAUUAAGGAAGAAUGACUAACAAUUAUGAAGGAUCAGAUACAAUCUAUAUAGAAGAAAUUCAUGAAUCCUCCUUUAAAUAAGAAACCUAUAACACUAAAAUGGUUUAAUAAAGUGAAAGUUAACAAAAAAGGAGAAAUGGUUAAGCUCUAAGACCAAACUUGUGGCGAAAUAAAUUUUGCUAAAAACAAGAAUCAAUAUGAUAAAAUUUAUACAUUGUAGCUAGAAUGGAAACUAUCAAAAUGGUUGUAGCUAUUGCAACUAAUGAUAAUUUUAUGCAUCAACUAGAUGUUCAACCACAAGGAUUUGUAGUUAAGGAUUCCAAAAAUAAGGCAUACAAAUUGAAGAAGACAUUGUAUGGCAUUAAACAGACACCAAAAAUUUGUAAUAAGAUAAUAGAUAAUUUCUUGUCUUAAAUUAUCUUUGAGGAAUGCACCUCAAAACAUGGAUUUUAUAUGAAAUUCUCAAAAGAUAAUGUGAAAUAAAAAAAAUUGAUCAUAUGCUUGUGCUUUAAUAAUAUUUUGAUUAUUGAUGGUAGUGAGGAAGUAAUUGUUGACAAGACAAGUGAUGAAUGAGUUUGAGAUGAGUAAAUUUAGACUUUUCUUUUACUUUUUGGGAAUUGGGUUUAAAAUAACCUAGUAUGGGACAAUUUUGCAUCAAACCAAAUAUGUAAAGGAUCUAUUAAAGAGGCUCAAUAUGCAACAAAACAAUCCAACAUGAACACUAAUAGAAUACUUGUGUCGUAUAAUGAAACAAAUGAAUAUAUAGUUUAUUCUGAAGAUUGUUGGAUGUUACAAGGUCAAACUUGAACUUCACGGACUGUAAAUUAUCUCACUUGUUAGUUGCGAAAAGGAUAUUGAAGUAUGUACAAAGAACAAUUUAUUUUAGAAUCUUAUUUCAAAUGGUGAAACUGAUAUAAAAGAAAAAUUGAUUGAAUAUUUUGAUUCAGACUAGUGUCGAGACAAAAGUGAUAGAAAAAACAUUGUUAGGUACAUUUUCUAUAGACGAGCUCUAAUCACUUAGUUCUUUAUAACGAAUCAUUUUGUAAAAUUAUCAUCUUGUAAGGUUAGACAUACAACAACAUCUAAAUGGCAUGCCAAGCAGUUUGGUUAAAUGCUUUGAUGCAAAGAUUACAAGUGAAAACAUUAAUCAAAGUAAAGUUGUUGGCAAACAAUAAAUCUAACAUUGAUUUAACAAAACAUUCAACCUCUCAUGAAAGGAACAAACAUUGAAGCAAAAAUUUACUUCUUAAGAGAGCAAAGUCAAAAACAAAAAACUGAAAAUUAAACACAACAAAACUCAAAUUUAACUUAUAGUCAUACUUACUAAGACUUUAAAACUAUAAAACAAUAAAUGUUUAAACAUAUAAGAAAAUUUGUUAAAAUUAUUUGUUUAAAUACAACUUUUGAAUAAAUGAGAAGUGUUAAAAAUAAUUCAAAGUUUAAAAGUUCCUAGUAACUUUAUAAGCAAUACUAAACCCUAAACUUUAUAAAUUUCACUUUUAGUGCAAUGCACAUAUUCUAUCAAAUAUACAAUUUAUUUAUUUAUUUUCAUUUUAUGAGUAAUAGUUAACACCUAAAUCGAUUUUUAUUUUUUAAAUAGGUUUAUUGAAAAUAAUAAUCCACGUACAUGGUGCGACCAAAUCAAAUGUUUUAUUCCAACAAAAUAAGCCUAACUAUUUGCGGCCAUUGUUGGUAAGGUUGUCCCAAAACCGCGACAAUGUUCAGCGCGUGUCCCACCAACGCGGCGACGCGUCCAUGCUUCAAAUAUUCUUCUGAAAUUCAAUCCUCUCUCUCUCUCCAUCCUCACUCGUUCCUUCUAAAUCCCGCCACGCGCCACUCUCUCUCACUCUCCACGCGACAAAACCACGCGCCUCCCUUGCCUCCGCCGCCGCGUUUGGAUUACACCCCUCCCAACGAGACGCGUCUGAACAACUUGUACCUCAAGCGCGGCAAAGUCGAGUUUGCGCGCCUAGUGUUUGAUAAAAGUCCCAAACGAGACGUUAAUGCAUGGAGGUGGAGUACCAUGAUUACCCGUUUCGCGCGCAAUGGAAUGAUAAAAGAAGUUUUGGGGUAUACGAGGUUGAUGUUGGUAGAGGGAAUAAAUCCAAGUUUGGUUUUAAUGACUGUUAUUCUUGAUGUUAUAGGGAAAGCUGGUGCACGAAACUUGGGUAGAGAAGCUCAUGGUUUUGUGGUGAAGAAUAUGUAUUUCAAGGAAUUGUCGAUUCUAACCGCAUUGAUCGAUAUGUAUCAUAAGUGUGGCGAUGUUGGGUCGGGGAAUCGAGUUCUGUUUAGUGUGAUGAAGUGGAAAGGAGAUUUUUGGAUUGGAUUGGUUUCGGGGAGACUUGAGGUUCAAAUGAGAUCUGUGAUUCGGUUGAAGAGGUUCCGACCUGGUGCUGGUGCGGUUGCCUCUUUACUUCCCAUUUGUGCACAGUUGAGGGCUCUGAAGCAAGGGAAGGAGAUUCAUGCUUAUGCUUUGAGACAUUGGCUUUUGCCUAAUGUGCCAAUCGUGUCUUCUUUGAUGGUGUUGUACUCUAAGUGCGGUGAGAUUGAGUAUUCCAUUAAACUUUUUGAUAAAAUGGAGUCGAAGAAUGUGGUUUCUUGGACUGCCAUGAUUGAUUCAUGCAUUGAGAAUGGGGGUGUGUGUGAAGCCCUUGGUGUCAUGAGGUCAAUGACAUGGAUGACCGAGCAUAAGCUGGAUACUGUUACCAUGGCUAGGAUGCUACAUGUGUGUGGGGAGAUGAAAGCUUUAAAGCUUGGGAAGGAAGUUCACGGACAAGUAUUGAAAAGGGGUUUUGCAUCAGUCCAUUAUGUUGCUGCGGGACUCAUUGAUAUGUAUGGGAUUUGUGUAGAUAUUGAUAAAGCAAAGUUGGUAUUCAGUGUGGUUCCUGAUAAAGGUUCAAUGGCAUGGAGUGCUCUUAUAAGGGCCUAUGGGCAUAAGGAAUGGUAUCAGGAGGCAGUUGAUCUUUUUGAUGACAUGAUUUCAAAUGGUUGCUCUCCGAAUCGCUUCACUUUUGAAGCUGUUCUAUCUAUAUGUGAUAGGGCUGGAUUUGUUGAAGAUUCUUUUAGGAUCUUUGAUUUGAUGUCGAGAUAUAAAAUUGAAGCAUCCAAAGAACACUGCACUUGCAUGAUUCGACUCCUUACCCGCUAUGGUAAACUAGACGAGGCUCUAAGAUAUUUAGAAAUGAGUUCUUCCUUAUAGCUGAGGGCAAGAGAUAAUAGAUUGUUCUUUGGAUGUUUUAUUAGAUUGUUAACAUUCUUAAGCUAUGUUUAUUUUCAACAUACCGAACAGCUGUUAACUCCAAACUCUGUUUAAUAAACAAUGAUCACAAAUGCAGAGAGUACUAGAAUCCCUUCCAUCUGAAAGAGAGUCCUCUUUCCCACAGGUACUACUCAUAAAGGGCAAAUAAAAAAACUAUCAAUUUUAUAUGUUAAAUUACUUAAUUAUAAUCAAUAAUUAAAACUUAAUUUAAUUUGUAAGUGUUUUUCGUUCUGUUUUCUCAUCCAUAAUUUUAUGAUUGUUCUAUCUGUACAUUGGUACCUUCUGCCUCAAGUAAAGUGCAUUCCUUCAUUUGCUCUUCCCCGUGUACUCUGAUCUCACUGUUUUUGCUUUGUUGCAGAAACUGUCCAGAAUUUCGAGUUCAGCUAACAACUAAAAGCAGUCUAUAUAGCUUCUCUGAAAGAAAUUAACACCUGGUGAUUGUCUUUCUGUGCCUCCAUCUUCCAUUACAUAUUUUUGGUUGAAUUUGGGAUCUUACGAGGUUGCAUGAUUUGUUGGCCUGGCAUUUUCAUGUUCAGGAUGCAAGAUGCCACUGCUGACGAUUGAUUUUUGUUCGCUGAUGGACUUCUCAAUGCUAUUAACAUUAAGUGUCAACUAAUUUGCUCUGGCUUUUGGAGUCUGAGCAAUAUAAGUGUAGUUUCUCAAGCGAUGGUGUUCGAAUUUGAAGUUUAGCUCUAGCCAGCAGGGUCAUGGUAAUAAUGCUAUGCAUCAACAUUCAAAUGGCAGAAAUGGAUAUUUGCAAGGAUAUAUUCUGCUACUCAUCAAUUCUACUCAAAUUUGGACCAAUGGUGAGAAACGAUAAUAUCUAAGUGACUCCUCUGUUUCUAUGUCCACUAGGAUGGUGAGGAAUGAGAAGAUGACCCUUGUGUUCUAUCUCCACAAGGAAAAGCCUUUAUUUUUUGCAAUUUACAUGCAAGUGAGUUGCUUUCUUCCAUGUAUAGGCUUAUUGAAAUAAUACAGAAAGAGGGAAUGCAAAUUCAGAUAUUUGCCAUUUUACAAAUCCAACAUUUAGGUUCUCCAUUGAUCAUGUUCUAUAGUACAAUAAUUUAUGCAACUUGAUUAACUUUGUUUAAUGCACUGUAAGUUAGGGUUUGUCCCUGUUUAUCUCCUUAAAGCCAGGGCUGUAGAGGAUUUUAUUAACCCUAUGAACCCAAACACUCCACAACACAAACUCAGAAACAGCGUUGACCCUAAACCCUACACACAAAGCCACCAAUUUUUAUCCCAAAAAAAUGAACAAAAGAUGCAUUUGUAUGUAGAUUUAACCCAAAAAGUGGAAAACCCAGAUGGAUGUACAUGUAAAUUAACCCUAUGAACCCAAACACUCCAAGCACAAACUCAGAAACAGCGUUGACCCCAAACCUAAAUACAAAGCCACCAAUUUUUAGCCCAAAAAAAAUGAACAAAAGAUGCAUUUGUAAGUAGAUUUAACCCCAAAAGUUGAAAACCCAGAUACAUGUACAUGUAAAUUAACCAAAAAGAAAACAAAAACAAGAAGCAUGUAGAUGUAAAUUAAGAAGCCCAAAUUAGCAACAACCAACCAUGAUUAAAAUUUGAUGGUAAACAGUAACAUAACAUCAGUAGUGAUUGAUUACACACCAAACAAAAACCCUUCUUUCUUGGAUCCCUGGUUUCACCCCACCAAAGGGUGUCGUAAAGCUUUUUCAGUGGUGUUAUUCAUGAGUCCUUGGAGGAAGGCGUGCCUUGAUCGGAGGACUUGGUGAUGGCGGCGGCGGUGGUGGUGGCGGGAGGAGGAGGUUCACGGCGGAAGCGGGUGGCCAAGAUGUUUAGGAGGCUGUAGAAGUGGUAGAAUAGCUGUGCACUAACCAGCACUACCAAGCAAAAAACGACGAAGUCCAUUUUGGAAGAAGAGGAACAAGAAUAUGCUUGGAUCGAUCGAAGACGAAUAUGAACAGAGGAAGAAGAUGUUUUAAUAUUGGGAAAAUUACAUCUUUAAUGAAAGGGACAUGUUGGUCUUUUUCCCUAUUUCAUGUCACUUUCAUUUCUCACAUUAUUCUUAUUAUAUUUAAAUAUUACUUUACUUUUAUUAUGAUUAGAUGAAUGAUUAUAUUAUAAUAAUUAAAUAAAGAGAUUAGUACAAUAAAAAAAUU
rnacentral:lncRNA from 1 species